AAUGACAAUGUGAAACUUGUACCAUAUUAGUUGUGCAUGGUUACAUAUGAUUUAGCAAUGUAUUGUUGCAUACAUAAUUACUUUUGCAUGUAAUUAUAGAAAUGAAAUUCAUUUACAUGUUAGAGACAUUUCAUAUAGAGGUAUGAUAUAGUUGAGAUUAUUCUACUAUCUAUUACAUUUAUAUUUUCAUACUUCCUAUAUCAUAUUUAUGCCUCAGUUGACCUAGUGGUGUAUUUCGCCACUCUCGACGGCUUACCCACUCGGAACUAUUGUUUAAUAGUUCUCACCCCCAUUGGUUGGUUGUUUUUAUUUCAGAGCCUUCCGCAGCCGGAAAGGCUAGGGAUUGUGGCAAGGGAGGCAACGACUAGCUAGAGCCUCACGAUGUGUGAUAGAUGAACCCACAAAUUUACUUAGUGGCUUAAUGUUGUGAUGUAUUUGUGCAUUAUGUGAGAUCCUAUGUAUUCUUAUUGUACCCUUAAUUAGAAUUAUUGUAAUCUUAAGGUUUUAGCUCUAAAACUUUAUAUCUAGCUGUUGUAUAUUCUCGCUCUGAAUACUAUGUUUAGGAUGGAUUUUUCUAUUGCUCUCUUUGACUGUUGUAGACGCCUUGUGCACAUUGUGGUUUUUGGUGUGUACGACGGGUCUGUGCACGCGCCCGGCGGGCUUUUGCUGCAGCCCGGGGCAUGAUAGGUACUCAGGAAGAGUUCCGCAAAACCUAAACGUUGGGUUUUCUUCUCAUGGAACAAAAUUUCAGUACUCCAAUUUAGUACCAUUACCCAAAUACAAAAUCUAUAGUUUUACCAAAUUUGACUUUGCAAAAUCUGUUUUCUCACCAAGUUUGUACCAAAACCACUCGAAUAGUUGUAAUGACCCUGAAGAAUAAAUGGUAAAAGUAGUAGUAGUAGUAGCAGUUAGCAUGGGAGAGUAGUAAAAAUGUCAACUUUACAAAGUAGAGCAGAGAAGUGACAGCAGGAGGUUGGUGAGGAGUGAGCUCGGCGGAGCGAUCCGGCGGGAAGGCGCUCGGGCGGAACUCCGGCAGGAAGGCGCCUUCGAAGGGGCUAAGGCGAGCUCGACAGUUCUAGGGCAUAGUCGGUGAUGAAGGGGAAAUGGGAGGAUCGAGGUCGGAGGAGGAAGCCUGACAGAACCGGGGUGUUUGGGGUGAAGAAGAGAGUUGGCGAAUCGGGCGAUCAGAUCACUGGAGCGGGCGUAAAAUGUGGACCCGAUAUCUGCCGGGUCGUGGAUGAUGCGGAGAAGGCCGGAACCGACGCCCACUUACCAUUAAGCAUAGAUCGAGCAAAGCGGGCUCGGAUCGGGGCGAAAUGGCGAACCCAAGACCCGCUGGGUUGCGGGUAGUAUGGAGAAGGACAGACCCGAGUCCGAAUACCCGACAAGCAGCAGAGGAGCUCAGGAAGCCCAGGAAGAGGGCCCAACUACCAUCGAAUUGGCGGCCCAACCAGCCAACUUCUUAUUUUGUCACUUUUGCUGUUUAGUCCUCAGAGAUUAAAUAAUUCUCUUUUCUGUAUGGAACUAAUUAGUAUAAGUAUCAGGAUGUAAUGUAAGCUAGGGCUUAGGAAUGGAAAUGAAUUAGCGUGUCUUCUUCCCCAAUUAUCCUCUUCUUCUCCACUCCUUUCUCUUCUCCUUCCCCAAAACCCUACUCUAAAUUCUUCUAAAACCCUAUUUUCUUCCUCCCAAUCUCUCUCCCUAUCUCUCUCUGUUUCUCUCCCUCUCCUUCUCUUUCACAAACUCACCUCCAAAUCGCCUCAAAUCAUCCGGUACAUAACAAUUGGUAUCAGAGCAGUUUUGAUCCCAGGGAGGGGAUGAAACUGAUACUUGCAUCAUGGUGGGAUGUCACAAGAAUGGAGCAGUAAUGGAUCUCGAGUAGCACCUGGAGCAAGAACUCAAGUGGUAGCAUCAGAUCUACAUUGGAAGGAUCACAGUAGUGAUUGGAGACAUUGCCACUACAAUAACAAGGUGGUAUCAGAUUGCAACUAGUAGAGAGGCGAUUUGAUUUUAUAAAGCUAUAACAUCAGGUAUUGUAGAAAUCUUUGCAUCCUUUUGAAUCAUUGAUUGCAUGUAUGCAAGAAUUGGUUAAUAAGGGAUCAAACCUGAUAAACAUCACAAGAAAUCUUUAUCACUGCUACUUGAAUCAAAUUGAUAGAGGGGUCAUAGAAGCAACAGGUUCUUGGUAGAGUAUCAUAGUUAAAAUUGGGCCAGUGAAGGGGAAUUUCAUCAAACACCUUGCAGGCACCAAGUAAUCAAGUUUUGUUCCCCAAUUUUAAUUCCAGAGUUGAGAUAUAAUUAGUUAAAUUGCUACAAAUGGAAAUAUAUUGAAGGAGUAGACAGCUGGUUAGUGUUCUCUUGAUUAGAACAGUCAUCAGAUCCCAAAGAGCAUCAUAGUCACCUCAAUAUUUCAUUGGAGCCAAUAGAAGAAAGCCAUUGGAAAUUCAGUCAAGUACCAUAGUGAAACACUUCAAGAAGAAGCAUAUGUGAAGUAAAAAUAGUUAAUGGAACAAAGUUGCAGCAACAAACCACUAGCUAUAAUCAAAGCUUUGAAGAAGCAUUACAAAGUGCUCGGGAUGUUAAUCAAAAGUUAGAUGCCUUAAUUGAAGCACUACAAAAGUUUAAGGAAGUGAAUUCUCGAAAUCCAAGGAUUGUACUUCAUCCAGGAUCGACUGACCGUCGAGAGAAUACCCUUUGUGAGAGUUAAGAAUGUCCAAAACACAAAAAGUGCUUUGGAGUUGAGUCCGCGAGAGCAAAUGGUGCAAACUGCAUUUUUGGGCUGAUGUUGCUCUCGGGGACCGGUCUCUGGAGGUGAGAGACCGGUUCCCUCGACUGGGUGUAGCGGGUUUGCUUGGUGCAACCGAUCCCUGGCAGGGAGGGACCGGUUCUCGAACGUGAUCCCAGCGAGAAAUGCCGAAAUUUCGCUAAGUCCUGAAAAUCGAGCUCUCGGGGACCGGUCUCUCAGGCGAGGACCGGUCUCUCGAGGACCGGUCUCCCGGGGAGAGACCGGUUCCCGAACGCGUGCGCCCGAAGGAAGCCCUCGGGGACCGGUCCCAAGUCGGGGAGACCGGCCCCUCCGCGCGAAAACUGCCCAGAAAGGGCUAUGCAAUGGCUGGAAAGUUGAGGGGUCUAAAUGCAAAAUGGCCUUUAUUAGAGUGGGCUGAGCCCUCUCUCUCCCUCACACUCAUCUCAUUUCACUCUCUCUCUCACUCUCUCUUUCUCUCUUGCUCCCUCUCUAGAAAAGAAAGGAGAAGAAGAAGAACAAGAAGGAGAGGAAGGAAAAGAAAGAGAAGGAAAGGAAGGAGAAGAAGAAGGAGAUCAAGGAGAAGGCUUUGGACACCUUCAUCACCCUCUCCUCUUCUCUUUGGUGUAGCACAAGAGGUAGGCUCUUGAGCCCUAGCUUCUAAACUUUGGAGUUUUGGAUUUUUAUGCUUUGGAAUGGGUCAAAUGAACCCUAAGCAUGCUUCUAAGUAGAUCAAUCCCAUGAAUCUAGGGAUUUAUUGGGUGGUUUGCUAUGGGUGCAAACCUAGGGCUCCAAAAUGGGGUUUUUGCGAAAGUAUGAGAUUGAUCUCAUUUGAAGCCUUGGAAACCCUAUUGUUAGGUCACAAAAUGUGGAGGCGCAGUCGAUUUUGGCAUUCGGCGACCCGGCGUGAAGUUCUCGGCAAAAUAGGGCCGGGUUAGCAUCGAUUCGGUCAAGGAAGGCUAAAGCCUUUUCGUAAAGCUCGCCGAGAAGGAUUUUCUAAGCCUCUACAUCGAUUAAUGGUGGGGGGUGCCAUCCUGAAGCUUUCGAACUCCUUUCUAUGUCUUAGAUUGCAUUUAAUCUCAUCUUUUCAUAUUGCAUUGUAGGAUUGCAUAGUAGCUCCAUUCCUUAUACUUUCUAAAUGAUAACCUAGUGUACUUGGAACGCUUGGUGACUUAGAUAGGUGAGGAUUGGGUCGGAACGUGGAUCCUAUGAUGCUAGAGAUAGAGAUGAACCCGAUAGGGGUGUUGAUGACAUAGAAAGCAGUGUUAUUGUCAAAGAAUAAACGAGUGGCAUCCAAAUGUUAAAUGAUAACGAGUGGCAUUAAUGUAGUGUAAUUAACACCAGAAGUCGAUUGACCUAGGGAUAGGCGGAUCCCUUAGAAAAUGCCUUGUGAACAAUGAAUUUAGAAAAGCUAAAUAGCAUUGCAUGAAUGUCGGGAACAAAUGAUCCCGCGAGAAAUAUUGACUCUAAUUGUAGAGCAUCCUCACUUGGAGAGGACUUGAUUGAGUUGUUGACCCUAGUUGUAGGGCAUCCUCACUUGGAGAUGAUAGAUCUAGCUCAUAGUCUGCGUUCGGGAUGGUAUAGCCAUUCAAUCCCCACAUGGAGGGGAUUAUCGUCGAGUACUCCGGAGUGUCGCGCGACUAGGACCACUUGGAGGUCCGGACCACAUGGAGGUCCGCAGACGGUCCCGGGCUUGGGUGCACUUGGAGCUCCCUCCCCACUUUGGGAUUGAAAGGUGAGUCAUAGGCGAGCCCUAGGGCCUCGCCACAGAUUGGGUAAAUGGAAAGAGUAAAGGUUUAAGAAUGUCAUUAAAUAUUGCUAUUCAAAUAUGGAUCGAAUUUGUUAGCAUGGUAGCAAACCUUUAUCAUAUGAUGCAUGCAUUCAUAUCCAUGAUUAUGGGCAUAGUAGCAUAAUUUUCCUACUAUUGCAUUUACAGUUUUCAGAUACAUAUCUAUCUAUCUAUCUAUCUGUUGUUACUUGUGCCCACUUGGACCUAGUGGGGAGAUCGGUAGAGUCGGCGGCCGAGCCCACUGGAAACUAUGGAAGAUAGUUCUCACUCCACUCUAUUUCCAGUGGUAGGUGCAGGGCUGCCGAGAGAGGACCGCGGCAAGGCCAUCGCUCCCGAUCAGUGAGACCGUGGUAAUAUAGUAGCUUUCCUUUUUGCAUUAGUACACCUAUGUAUUGAGAGAGAUUCAUUGUAGGUGAGGAUUUGGAGAGCUAUGUAUUUUGGAGAUGAAAAAUGUAUUCAUUUAAAGAAAAUGAUGUAAAUAAAAAUGUUGAAACUAUUGUAAUAGUUUAGUGAAGUACUCUCUUUAUUUCACAUGCUUUAUCUUGUGGAUCGCUUGCUCUUCGCGUUGUUGGCACCGUUUGUGCCCUUGUGAAUGUGUAUGUUUAGAAUUUAAUUUCCUGCGUAAAUUCUUGUACACAUUCCUAUUGUUGAGCCUGGGGCGGACAAGGGAGGUGCUGUCCGUUCGGCGGCCUGCCGCCGCGGCCGAACCGUGCCAAAUUGGUAGUGGUUUCGGGGCGGGGCGUGACCGCCUUUGUGGUAUCAGAGCCUAAGAGCAAGUAAAGAGAAAGUCUAGGAUAAUCUAGGAGACCCUAGGUCGGUAAGCCCUAAGGUUAUAGGUGCAUGAGCGGAACGUGAACUUAUAGCGAUGGCGGAAGUUGAUUCUAUUGGGUCGAAGUUGGUAAUAUGUCUCUAGUUGUGGUUAGAGACGGAUUCAAGUGGUAUAAGUUCUUGUCUUGAGAUGGUUGUGUCGGCGGCCGACGACAUGAUACUAAGAGCCUAGAACGAGUGCACUUGUGUGCUUCCGCCUGAUUUUGUUGUUGAGUCGUCAUGUGUCGUAAUUGCGACGAGAUAAUUGGUUAAGAUGACUGACCAAGUAAUUGCGUUUCAGGGACUAAUGUCUCCAAGACGCUACACACGUAGAACUGCCCCAGCACCGACUCCUGAGGUGCCCGAGCAGGAGGAACCGAGCGUGAUCGAUUGGUUGCAAGCACAGGUGACCGCGUUGACCAAUGUGGUGCAGCGCCAGGAGACCAGAUUCGAGCGGCUCCAGGAUCUAUUGGAGCGGCAGAUCGCGGCGACGGCUGCGACGGUAAAUGAAGGCAGUGGCCCGCCCAAACCCUCGACUCAUAUACCUGGAGCGGCAGAGGGUGAGGGCAUAGCGGCGGUUCCGAUGACGGCACGCCCACCGCGAACGAUCGUACCACAGGCGGCAUCGGGGUCGGCUACACCCGAUGUGUCGGUCGAAGACGUGGAGGGAGAGAGCGCAUUGGCGGCUCUUAUCAAGUUCAACAAGUUCCAUCCGCCAACUUUCGAGGGCGAGAAGGUGGAACCGGAGAUGGUCGAGUCUUGGAUCGACUCGAUGGAAACCCUCUUCGAUGACUUGCGUACCUUGGAGAGGGACAAGGUGUACCUCGCCACCCAUUGCUUGGAAAAGGCGGCGAAGGUUUGGUGAAGCGAGUCAAACGGGAUCGGCUUCCCGGCCUUCCACCAAUGUUGUGGGAGGAAUUCAAGCGGGAGAUGUUCGCCAACUAUUUUCCCGAUACAUUGAAGCGGAAGCUCAAGGAGAAGUUCCGCAAGCUCGAGCAAGGGGACCGCCCAGUGGCGGAGUAUGAACAAGAAUUCUCCCAUAUUAUCGAUUUCGUCCUGGAUGUUGUAAAGGAUGACCGGGACCGGGCCGAGUGGUUCUUGCGAGGGCUUCGGCCGGGAAUCUAUAAGGCCGUGCAAAUAUUCAAGCUCACGACUUUUGCGGAGGUCUUCGAUCGAGCCCUAUGGGUGGAGCACGGAGAUGCCCACGUUCGGGAGAAGCGUGAGGCUUUGGCCGAGUCUAAGGACAAGGGCAAGAAACGCCAAGGCGGCGGUAGUUCGGGGGGGACAAGCACGUUACAAGAAACCCCUGAAGUAUCCGCGCGCUCAACAAAAGGGCGGUGGAGCGCGGUGAUGCAUUGUGUGCGGCGGAGACCACCCAGUCUCGCGCUGUGAGCAAGGUCGAGGCAAGUACUACAAAUGUGGGCAACCGGGGCACUUCAUUUGAGACUGCCCGGGAGGAGGAGCCUCACCUACCCCAUAGAUUGCAUCGGCGUCGGCGAUCCCGGCUCACUAUGGAGGAGCUCCAACGACGGCCGCGUCGACUGGACGCGCGAUGAUGCCGCGUCAACCUGAAGUGAUGCGAUCGGCCCCGAGCAGACGGGUGUUCGCCGCUCAGGUCCAAACUGAGGAACCUGCGGAGGCGGAGGAGCAUCGCCUUGUGGCAGGUAUGGUUUUAAUUAACGGAGUUCGCUCCAGGGCUUUAUUUGAUACAGGAGCCACGCAUCCAUUCAUAAGUAGAUCAUUCGCACGCAUGCAUGACAUUCUCAUAGAGGCGAGUGACAAGUGGCGAGUGGAGGGCCCUGAGUCGACGUUUAACACUUACUCGGAGUGUGCGUCAUGUCCCGUGCAAAUAGGCGACUGGAUUAUGCCUAUCCGGACACUGGAACUCCAGAAGCUUGAGGCUUUUGAUAUCAUUCUGGGCAUGGACUGGCUCUCGAAGUAUCAUGCGACGAUCGACUGUAAGAGCAGGGUGAUCACUUUUCGUGAACCAGGACAGGAGGAGUUCACAUAUCGGGCUUGUCAGAGCUCGUGCUUUGUCGCGACGGUGUCGGCGACGAGAGCAAGAAAGUUAGUUAACAGCGGUUGCACGGCAUUCUUAGUGACUGUUGUGGAAGUGGAACGAGUAGCUCCAACGUUAGGGGAGCUAUCGGUGGUGCGGGAGUUCCCGGAUGUGCUUCUUGCGGAGUUGCCGGGGAUACCACCGGAUCGGGAGAUCGAGUUUGUCAUAGACUUGGUUCCCGGUACCGCGCCGAUCUCGAAGGCCCCGUACCGAAUAGCGCCGGCGGAAUUGAAAGAGUUGAGGAGUCAACUGCAAGACCUCCUCGACAAGCAAUUUAUCCGGCCAAGUGUAUCACCGUGGGGAGCCCCGGUGUUGUUUGUACGGAAGAAGGACGGAUCGUUUCGACUCUGCGUGGACUAUCGAGAAUUGAACAGAGUCACGAUCAAGAACAAGUACCCAUUACCCCGGAUCGAUGACUUGUUCGAUCAGUUGCAAGGGUCAUGCGUGUACUCGAAGAUAGAUUUGCAAUCCGGCUACCACCAACUGAAGAUCAAGCCGGAGGAUGUGCAGAAAACUGCGUUUUGUACGCGGUAUGGACACUAUGAAUUCACGGUUAUGCCAUUUAGACUCAUGAAUGCUCCAGCGGUGUUCAUGGAUUUAAUGAACUGUGUCUUCAAGAAGUAUUUGGAUCGAUUUGUCGUGGUCUUCAUAGACGACAUAUUGGUCUAUUCUCGUAGCAACGAAGAACAUGUCGAGCAUUUGAGGAUAGUUCUUCAAGUCCUUCGGGAGGAGAAGCUAUAUGCUAAGCUGAAGAAGUGUGACUUCUGGCUUUGCGAGGUCGCCUUCUUAGGGCAUGUGAUUUUCGCGGGUGGAGUUUCUGUAGACCCGAGGAAAGUGGAGGCAAUCAAGGAUUGGCCGCGCCCGACAAAUGUCAUGGAGGUUCGAAGCUUCGUGGGCUUGGCGGGCUAUUAUAGGCGGUUCGUGGAAGGUUUUUCCAAAAUAGUGAUUCCACUUACCCGCCUUACUCAGAAAGGCACCAAGUUCGUUUAGAGCGAAGAAUGUGACCAGAGUUUCAAAGAGUUGAAGCAAAGACUGACUUCGACUCCGGUGCUCGCUCUACCGGUGCAGGGCGAAGACUUCUUGGUCUACGGUGAUGCCUCCUAUCUUGGGUUGGGGUGUGUAUUGAUGCAAAACGGGAAGGUGAUCGCUUAUGCAUCCCGUCAACUGAAGAGCUAUGAGAGGAACUACCCCAUCCAUGAUUUGGAGCUAGCGGUGGUGAUUUUCGCCUUGAAGCUGUGGAGGCACUACUUAUAGGGUGCCCAUUGUGAGAUUUAUACCGACCACAAGAGCUUGAAGUACCUGUUUACACAGACGGAGCUCAACAUGCGUCAGCGGCGGUGGUUGGAGCUGUUAAAAGACUAUGAUGUUGAUAUCCUCUACCACCCCGGGAAGGCAAAUGUGGUCGCGGACGCACUUAGUAGGAAGUCGGCGAAGAACCUCGCUUUUGAUAUUACCCAGCAAACACCCCUGUGGCUGGAUAUGGAGCGAUUGGACCUUAAAGUGGUCACUCCCGAGGUCCCGACUCAGUUGAUGGCACUCGUUGUCCAACCGACCUUGUUGGAGAGGAUCAAAGAUCUGCAACCCGCAGACCCAGAACUCCAAAAGGUGCGGCGAAAUAUCGAGGAAGGGCAUGGCGGCGAUUUCAGGGUAGACGCCGAUGGUACGCUUCGGUUUCGAAACCGAUGGUGUGUGCCGAAAAAUGGAGAGCUUCGUGAAUUGAUUCUGCAAAAAGCACACCGAUCUCCAUAUGCCGAUCACCCAGGCGGCACCAAGAUGUAUCGUGGAUUAAAAAUGCACUAUUGGUGGCCGGGAAUGAAGAGUGACAUUGGACGCUUUGUGGCAAAGUGCCUGACAUGCCAACAAGUGAAGGCCGAGCGUCGAUUUCCAGCGGGAAAGCUUCAAAGCCUACCAAUCCCCGUUUGGAAAUGGGAGGAUAUAUCAAUGGACUUCGUGGUCGGCUUGCCUCGCUCAACGGGCGGCCAUGAUGCAAUUUGGGUAAUUGUGGACCGAUUGACAAAGUCGGCUCACUUCUUACCGAUCCACACCACGUGAUCGGGUGACAAGUUAGCGCAGGUAUAUCUUGACCAGAUAGUGAGACUGCAUCGGGUGCCAAAAUCGAUCGUGUCGGAUCAUGACCCCCGGUUCACUUCACACUUCUGGAAAAGCCUGCAGGAAGCCCUUGGCACACGGCUCGACUUCAGCACUGCAUUUCAUCCUCAGAUCGAUGGGCAAACAGAAAGAACUAUUCAAACACUGGAGGACAUGUUGCGAGCGUUUGUCAUCGACUAUAAGGGAAGUUGGUGUGACCACUUACCUAUGGCCGAGUUCGCCUACAACAACAGUUAUCAUGCUAGUAUGGAGAUGGCACCGUUCGAGGCUCUUUAUAGGCGGUCGCGUCGAUCUCCUAUACACUGGAGCGAUGUAGGUGAGCGUGCUGAGUUCAGCCCAGAUGUGUUGCGAGAAGCGAAAGAGAAAGUCCGCCUUGCUCGCAAGAGAUUGCUCACGGCGUAGUCGAGACAACAGAGUUAUGCAGAUAGACGCCGUCGAGAUAUAGAAUUCGCGGUAGGCGACCGCGUAUUCCUGAAAGUCUCACCGAUGCGGGGUGUGAAGCGGUUUGGAGUGCGGGGAAAACUAAGUCCCCGAUACAUUGGGCCAUCUGAGAUAUUGGAGCGAGUUGGCAUGGUGGCCUACCGACUUGCUUUGCCGCCGAAACUUGCGGAUGUACACAAUGUGUUCCAUGUCUCCAAUCUCCGCAAGUAUAUUCACGACCCCGAGCAUGUGAUGCUAUAUGAACCGCGGGAACUUCAAGGAGACUUGAGCUAUGAAGAGUUUCCGGUAGGGAUUAUCGCCCGAGAGGUGCGAAAGUUGAGGCAUCGAGAAAUUCCCUAUGUGAAGGACAGGUGGAGCAAUCACGAGGAUCGCGAAGCCACCUGGGAACUCGAGGAUCUGAUGAGAAAACACCAUCCUCAUCUAUUUGAGGAGUAAGGUAUGGGUUUAAGUCAAGAAUUGAGUUAGUUUGGAGGACGAAACUUCUUUUAAGGAGGGGAGGAUGUAAGGAAGUGAAUUCUCGAAAUGCGAGGAUUGUACUUCAUCCAGAAUCGACUGACCGUCGAGAGAAUACCCUUUGUGGGAGUUAAGAAUGUCCAAAACACAAAAAGUGCUUUGGAGUUGAGUCCGUGAGAGCAAAUGGUGCAAACUGUAUUUUUGGGCUGAUGUUGCUCUCGGGGACCGGUCUCUGGAGGUGAGAGACUGGUUCCCUCGGCUGGGUGUAGCGGGGUUGUUUGGUGCAACCGGUCCCUGGCAGGGAGGGACCGGUACCCGAACGUGGUCCCAGCAAGAAAUGCCGAAAUUUGGCUAAGUCCUGAAAAUCGAGCUCUAAGGGACCGGUCUCUCAUGCGAGGACUGGUCUCCCGAGGACCGGUCUCCCGGGGAGAGACCGGUUCCCGAACGCGUGCGCCCGAGGGAAGCCCUCGGGGAUCGGUCCCAAGUCGGGGAGACCGGUCCCUCCGUGCGAAAACUGCCCAGUAAGGGCUGUGCAAUGGAUGGAAAGCUGAGGGGUCUAAAUGCAAAAUGGCCUUUAUUAGAGUGGGCUGAGCUCUCUCUCUCCCUCACACUCAUCUCAUUUCACUCUCUCUCUCACUCUCUCUUUCUCUCUUGCUCCCUCUCUAGAAAAGAAAGGAGAAGAAGAAGAACAAGAAGGAGAGGAAGGAAAAGAAGGAGAAGGAAAGGAAGGAGAAGAAGAAGAAGGAGAUCAAGAAGACGGCUUUGGACACCUUCAUCAACCUCUCCUCUUCUCUUUGGUGUAGCACAAGAGGUAGGCUCUUGAGCCCUAGCUUCUAAACUUUGGAGUUUUGGGUUUUCAUGCUUUGGAAUGGGUCAAAUGAACCCUAAGCAUGCUUCUAAGUAGAUCAAUCCCAUGAAUCUAGGGAUUUAUUCGGUGGUUUGCUAUGGGUACAAACCUAGGGCUCCGAAAUGGGGUUUUUGCGAAAGUAUGAGAUUGAUCUCAUUUGAAGCCUUGGAAACCCUAUUGUUAGGUCACAAAACGUGGGGGCGAAGUCGAUUUUGGCAUUCGGCGACCCGGCGUGAAGUUCUCGGCAAAAUAGGGCCGGGUUAGCAUCGAUUCGGUCAAGGAAGGCUAAAGCCUUUUCGUAAAGCUCGCCGAGAAGGAUUUUCUAAGCCUCUACAGCGAUAAAAGGUGGGAGGUGCCAUCCCGAAGCUUUCGAACUCCUUUCUAUGUCUUAGAUUGCAUUUAAUCUCAUCUAUUUAUAUUGCAUUGUAGGAUUGCAUAGUAGCUCCAUUCCUUAUGCUUUCUAAAUGAUAACCUAGUGUACUUGGAACGCUUGGUGACUUAGAUAGGUGAGGAUUGGGUCGGAACGUGGAUCCUAUGAUGCUAGAGAUAGAGAUGAACCCGAUGGGGGUGUUGAUGACAUAGAAAGCAGUGUUAUUGUCAAAGAAUAAACGAGUGGCAUCCAAAUGUUAAAUGAUAACGAGUGGCAUUAAUGUAGUGUAAUUAACACCAGAAGUCGAUGGACCUAGGGAUAGGCGGAUCCCUUAGAAAAUGCCUUGUGAACAAUAAAUUUAGAAAAGCUAAAUAGCAUUGCAUGAAUGUCGCGAGAAAUGUUGACUCUAGUUGUAGAGCAUCCUCACUUGGAGAGGACUUGAUUGAGUUGUUGACCCUAGUUGUAGAACAUCCUCACUUGGAGAGGAUAGAUCUAGCUCACAGUCUGCGUUCGGGAUGGUAUAGCCAUCCAAUUCCCACAUGGAGGGGAUUGUCGUCGAGUACUCCAGAGUGUCGCGCGACUAGGACCACUUGGAGGUCCGGACCACAUGGAGGUCCGCAGACGGUCCCGGGCUUGGGUGCACUUGGAGCUCCUUCCCCACUUUGGGAUUGAAAGGUGAGUCAUAGGCGAGCCCUAGGGCCUCGCCACAGAUUGGGUAAAUGGAAAGAGUUAAGGUUUAAGAAUGUCAUUGAAUAUUGCUAUUCGAACAUGGAUCGAAUUUGUUAGCAUGGUAGCAAACCUUUAUCAUAUGAUGCAUGCAUUCAUAUCCAUGAUUAUGGGCAUAGUAGCAUAGUUUUCCUACUAUUGCAUUUAUAGUUUUCAGAUACAUAUCUAUCUAUCUAUCUAUCUAUUUGUUGUUACUUGUGCCCACUUGGACCUAGUGGGGAGAUCGGUAGAGUCGGCGGCCGAGCCCACUGGAAACUAUGGAAGAUAGUUCUCACUCCACUCUAUUUCCAGUGGUAGGUGCAGGGCUGCUGAGAGAGGACCGCGGCAAGGGCAUCGCGCCCGAUCAGUGAGACCGUGGUAGUAUAGUAGCUUUCCUUUUUGCAUUAGCACACCUAUGUAUUGAGAGAGAUUCAUUGUAGGUGAGGAUUUGGAGAGCUAUGUAUUUUGGAGAUGAAAAAUGUAUUCAUUUAAAGAAAAUGAUGUAAAUGAAAAUGUUGAAACUAUUGUAAUAGUUUAGUAAAGUACUCUCUUUAUUUCACAUGCUUUAUCUUGUGGAUCGCUUGCUCUUCGCGUUGUUGGCACCGUUUGUGCCCUUGUGAAUGUGUAUGUUUAGAAUUUAAUUUCCUGAGUAAAUUCUUGUACACAUUCCUGUUGUUGAGCCUUGGGCGGACAGGGGAGGUGCUGUCCGUUCGGCGGCCCGUCGCCGCGGCCGAACUGUGCCAAAUUAGUAGUGGUUUCGGGACGGGGCGUGACAAAAAGGAAGAGGCAAGGAGGCACGAAAUCAUGAUGCAGGAGAAUGCCCGCAAACAUGAACAACUCCUAGAGUUGAUUAGGAGCCGAUUUGUGCAUGAUAGAGAAAAAGAGAUAGCAGUGCAGGUUCCAAAAGAAGAGAAAGAGCUAAUACCCAUAACCAUUUCUCUAGAGAAAAGAGUUAGUUCACUAACUAAUUCCGUAAUCGACCAACCAGCUGCCGUGAAGGAAGUAGAGCAAAAGCACCUUGAAAUUCUACAGAUGGAGGACAGUAAUGGGCAUGAUGUAAAGCUGAGUGAUAGUACUAGCAAACCGGAGGGAUUGCUAAGGUUGCAUGCAACUCAACCAUAUCCGACCAAGCCAAUUCCAAUUGUCGAAACAUGCAACAUAGAGCAUUCAAGUUUAGAGAGAAGCAAACUUAGAGAUAACAUUGUUCCAUCACCUAUCAGAGCAAACAUGGGUGAAGGAACUCCACUAGGAACUCACAAGCUGCAAGAAAUGGAAGAAGAAGCAUUCCCACAAUGGCCUGAUAACAACCCACUACCUCAACAACCCUGGUUGGAUCGAAUUCAUCAUCAGCAUCAACAGCAUAAGCUCUGGAAGCGAUCUAUUCGGCGUGGAACCUAUCAUCAUUGUCGCCAUCCAGUUCUCAGAUCGAAGUCAUCAUUGAAGGUUGCGACUCAGCUCGGAACCAAAUCAGGCCUAGAUCGACCCUUGGUAGCACCUCAAUCAUCAUCACAGCCAACCAAAUCUCCGAAAUUACAAUGGGCGAUGGAUGCUACUCAGAUUGGGCCAUUACAAAUUGAAUGCUAUCACAAUCGGAUUGUUAUGAAGAUUGGGCUGUUACAAACUGGAAAGGCAAAAACAGAAAAACAAGAGAUCGUUAACUACAAGGACAAACCCCCUUGGAAGAAGUUUGUUGCAGAUAAGUGGAAGGGGAUUGACAUCAAGUGCCUAACUGAUGACAUUGAUGCAUUCUGCAGGCAAAUACACAACAAGACAGUGGAAAACUAUCAAGCCAGAUCGGAGAACUUAAGAGUUCAAAAGCCAAUCCAAAAUUCUAAUCUGGUAGAGGCUUGCCAGGUGUGGGGCUUUGUCAAUGAAUACAAGGAGCUAGGGACUGUGCUUAAGAGGCCUCACCCAUGCUCGCGAUUUCUGACCUAUGAACAAGAUAAGCUACAGGAAUCUGAUAGAAAUUUGGGUGUUACCUUGCACAUAAAAGGGGAAUGCAAAGCGCUUACCAUGAUUAUAUGCAAAUGGAUGCAAGCUGUGCAAAAUCGAAGUGAAGAAGACCAUCUGUUAACUGAAUUUCAUACUUCCAGGGCGUGGCAAGUUGAUAAGGGAAUUGAACAGUUCACUCGAUGGUCAGGAAUCGAAAGGGAUGUGCAUCAGUUAGUGCCAGAAUAUGAAGUUUGCUUAAGAGCUAAGGGAGAAAAUAGGCCCACACAUUGUUACAAGAAGCUGAAACCUGAAGAGUGGUGGUCCUACACCAGAUGCCGCUUCUCAACAGGAGAGAGAAUUUUACAAGGUAAAUAUACCUAUUACCCUCCAACUAAUGCCUUGAUUACUAUUGGAAAUAUUAUGGACUCAAAUUUGAGUUGGUUCAAGCGAAUGGGACAAGUACUAUACAUUUUUAAAGGGCAAUCAAAUAGAGCAUAGCAGAGAACACAUAUCAUGCUGAUAGGAAAAGGAGUAAAAGUCUCUCUAGGAGAAGACAUGUACACUGGGAGUCAAUAUUCCACGAGCAACAUGGCGGAGCUGACAGAAGGAGUCCAAAACUCUAGUUGCAUUUCUCUGAACCAACCCAGUUUUUUGACUAGGGGAGAUCCGGCAGCGCGCAGGUUGCGACAUCCUGAAGGGCCCAAGGGUGAGCCCCUGCCCCAACAGGGCCGCCAUCCAUGCUGCCAGCCGGAGGAGGUUUCCAAAGGUGGCUUAAAAGAAGCAACUUUGAAGAAGAAGAAUGUGCCGCAGGGGAAGCAAAUGGGAUCCCCCAAACCAGUCAACAAGUUCCAUCCUUGAGGACAAGGAUGAACUUAAGGGGAAGGGAUUGUAAUGACCCUGAAGAAUAAAUGGUAAAAGUAGUAGUAGUAGUAGCAGUUAGCAUGGGAGAGUAGUAAAAAUGUCAACUUUACAAAGUAGAGCAGAGAAGUGAUAGCAGGAGGUUGGUGAGCAGUGAGCUCGGCGGAGCGAUCCGGCGGGAAGGCGCUCGAGCGGAACUCCGGCAGGAAGGCGCCUUCGAAGGGGCUAAGGCGAGCUCGACAGUUCUAGGGCAUAGUCGGUGAUGAAGGGAAAAUGGGAGGAUCGAGGUCGGAGGAGGAAGCCCGACAGAACCGGGGUGUUUGGGGCGAAGAAGAGAGCUAGCGGAUCGGGCGGUCAAAUCAUCGGAGCGGGCGUAAAACGCGGACCCGAUAUCCGCCGGGUCGUGGAUGAUGCGGAGAAGGCCGGAACCGACGCCCACUUACCGUUAAGCAUGGAUCGGGCAAAGCGGGCUCGGAUCGGGGCGAAAUGGCGAACCCAAGACCCGCUGGGUUGCGGGUAGUGUGGAGAAGGACGGACCCGAGUCCGAAUACCCGACAAGCAGCAGAGGAGCUCAGGAAGCCCAGGAAGAGGGCCCAACUACCACCGAAUUGGCGGCCCAACCAACCCACUUCUUAUUUUGUCACUUUUGCUGUUUAGUCCUCAGAGAUUAAAUAAUUCUCUUUUCUAUACGGAACUAAUUAGUAUAAGUAUCAGGAUGUAAUGUAAGCUAGGGCUUAGGAAUGGAAAUGAAUUAGCGUGUCUUCUUCCCCAAUUAUCCUCUUCUUCUCCACUCCUUUCUCUUAUCCUUCCCCAAAACCCUACUCUAAAUUCUUCUAAAACCCUAUUUUCUUCCUCCCAAUCUCUCUCCCUAUCUCUCUCUAUUUCUCUACCUCUCCUUCUCUUUCACAAACUCACCUCCAAAUCACCUCAAAUUAUCCGGUACAUAACAAUAGUCUCCAAACCUCACUGAAAACUAUUCGAAUAGUCUUCUAAGCUAUUUUUCAUUGAAACUCCACAAAUUUGCACAAGUUUAAUGCAUUACAUAAUGAUUAUUAUGUAUAGAGCUUAUCUUUGUUGGACAUAUGACACACAGUAGGUUUGGUUAACAUGUAAUUGCUCUCUCGUGGAUUUUAACCUUAUUGGUUGGUUGUAGUUGAUUAUGAAAAUGAUAUAUGAUUGACCUAGUUAGUUGGCUAUACUCUAUAUGAGAUUGGACCUUUGUGAUCGGUAGAUUGCUCCUCAUGAGCCUUGUUGCUUUCCAUCACGGUUCAAUUACUUGAGCAUAUAGCGUGAUCCUAGAUUGCUCCUCAUGAGCCUUGCUACUUUCCAUCACGGUUCGAUUAUUUGAGCAUAUAGCACGAUCCGCUACAGCAUGAUGCACAUCCGCAUACACCAAUUCGAUUUGGUCACCAAUAGUGGAUGUUCUUUUUCGAAAAAGUGGUAAAAAAUGAGUCAUGAAUCAACUUCGUGCAUACAUAGAUCAUCAAUUCGAAAGCUCUAUUAUCGAAAUUAUUUAAAUUUAUGAGUACGAAGACAAUCGUACUCAUAAAAAUUAUAACCGGUCACACUCUCACUCAUCGAAAAUAAUUUAUGAAUAUGAAGACAAACCUAAAGCAUCCAAAAUUAACAAUCAAAACGGUAAAACUUGAUCUAAACUAUUCAAACUUUUUAGGUUUCAAAUUUUACAAUUUUUUAAUAUCAUUUGCCGACUAUUCAGAUGGUCUCAAAUUUACUAUUUUCAACAACUAAUAAAAGGUUAAUUUGAGACCACUUGAUGCCUAGGCAAAUGACCACAAAAUAUCACAAAAUCCGAAUCAUAAGAAAUUUAAAUAGCUUAAAUUGUGUUUAAGAAAUUUAAAUAGCUUAAAUUGUGUUUAACAAAAUCAAUCAUCAAAAUUCGCAUGACAUAUAGUCAAACAAUUCAUAAGCAAAUGACCCUGUUUACUCCCAGAAGUAUUAUAACUAUCAAUUAAUUUUCAAGAACUAGGAAAUAAGAAGAUAAUAUAAAGAUAUGUCUUAAUGACUACAAAACCAAACAUAAUUUGUAAAAUCACUAACAAAAGUGGCCCAACACUAUCACCCAUCAAUGAAUUGCACUAACGAUGAAAUGCUCAGCAACUAAAUAGACUUACAGAUAGCCAAAAAAGAUCACAACUUCGAGUAAAUAGACAGGCUUGAGGAUAGGCUAAAGAAUAAUUACACAGAGAAAGGCAGCCAACAUGGCUUUUGGGCUCCACAAUUUGUUAAUGUUGAGUAACUGUAGCUUGUUUCUAUCAUGUUAAGAAGCAUAUAAACUUACAAGAAUACCAAGCUACACAAGAUUAUAAUGCAAUACACAUCUGCAAGUUACACUUAAAUCGCAUUUAUUCCUCUGCUUGCCAUCACCGAGCACAUCACUGUAAUGAGAAUAGCACCGCUAAUACAAAAACAUAGCAGUAACCAGUGUAACUGUGAAAAUAAUCAACUUUAACAUAGGCAGAUAUAAUCCUAUAAAAGAACAUGUAAGGGUGGAAGAAAGUCCAAAAAUAAUACAAACAUAUAUGACAUAAAAAAGCAAUGUUUCGCUACACCUUUUACAGAUCUGAAUUUAGUUUUUAAGUUUCAGUAAGCACACGUAGAUGCCUGAAUGGAAUGAUAAAAGCAACAAAGCAGGAUCCAUACAAUUUACAAGCCUGUUGAGAUCGAAGCAUGGAGCAAGCGGCUAUAGUCCAAAUUGUUCCUUAUCACAAUUCAUUGAUCAGGCAGGUAGAGGCUCCUCCAAAACUGUUCAUUUUGAUCAGAAGCAAUUUCUUAGCAACCAAAUUUGUAGCAGGAAAUAGCUCAACCAAAGAUAUGCAAUUACAAAAUACAUACAGACAAAGAUAUAAAUCGAACAGAGUCAUAUAGACCGCGCACAUUUAUAGCCAUGUUCAUACAUGCUAUAUGCACAGAGAGAGAGAGAGAGAGAGAGAGAGAGAGAGAGAGAGAGACCGUCAGUUCUUUUGGCAGCACUAUCUUUAGCGGCCACAGGAACUUUCGUGGGUACAUCAGGAAGGUCGAGAGUCUCAUCUUCUUUUUCCUCUGCCUGAGAUUCUGCUUCAGGCUGCUUUUCAACAAACAGUUUAGCACCCUCUUCAGCUGGCACUGAUGAAGCAGGAAUUGUCGGCAAUGAUUGUAGUGUGAGCUGCAAUGAUUAAAAAAGCCAGAACACUUUACUAGGACGCCUAUAAACAUAGACAGUGAAAUCGGAACAAAGUUUAUUUUGGCACAAAAACUAGCUCAUGCAAGCUUGUAGUUGUCUUUCACUUUGUUAAUCUUAGGGAAUGUGCUUGUGGCAUAAAAGAGCCCUUGAGCAAUUUAGUAAACAAACCUCAGUUUCCAAGUUCUCGAAUUCUGCCAAAACGGCUUCCUCAUCUUCAGCUGAGAGCUGCUCCCCUAAUGCAGCAUUUAUUUCCUGCAACGACAGAAGAAAGCAUAAGACCAGUCUUCAAUUUAUUUGAAAUAGAUAAUCCUAAAGCACUAGUAAUUCAUGAUUGGAAGUCCUACAAUAAGUAAAUGAUGACAAAAUCAACUAUUAGCAUAAACAUAAGCAACAAGUCAGGCCCAAUCAUGCCUCAAGCCCUCAUAGAACUAAGCAGAUAAUUGCAAAAAUAGACAAUAAGUUACUAUGCCAGAAAAAAUUAAUCAAUAGCAAUAAUUUUAGCAGACAUGCAACAGAUCAUAAUUCUUUUCACCAAUUUGAAAAUCAUAAGAGUACAGUAAGCUUCUCAUCAUCCACACAAUUUUCUUUCCAAUUAGAAUAUUCUACAGUUGGACAUUGACUUGUCGCAAACAAGAAAGGUUUUAUAGGAAGAAGUUGCAUUUCAAUAGUAUAGAGGACACGAGGGUUGUGAGAAAAUGCAUCUCAAGAGGUUUCUAAUGAGGGAACUGGUUCGAUCAUUAUGAUUGUGACGCUAUUCUUCAAAGAAGUGAGGAUCAACCCCUUAUCUAUGGGAAGACAAAGAGGAGUAUCCUCUUUAAAAGAAUAAGUCAUUUCUCAUGAGAUAGAGAACUGGUCCAAGUAUAGGCCUCAAGGGUUAAAAUAUGAGCUAUAUUAUUAUAAGAAGCUAAAAUACUAUGCAUUAGUGCCUGAAAUCACAAUCCAAAAUGUACAACAAUUGUAUAGCAUAGAUGCUAAUUUUCAGCCUUGCUUGUCUACCAAGGCCAAGUUUGGUAAGGCGGUAGCUGUAAGCACAGCCUUUAUGCUCUGAAAGAUGCAAAAAUUCAAAGCACUUUCAAUCUUCCUCCAAUGCUAUACAAUUGUGAUGACAACCGCCACCGGAGAAGCACAUAACCACAUGCUUCUUUGGUAAUGGUUGCCACUACAAUUUUUUUAGCAUUGGAGGAGGGACGCUUGGAAGCGUUUUUGGGAUUUUUUUUUUUUUUUUUUGGUUUUUUGGACCUUACAAAGCAUAAAUGUGAUUCUUUUAGCCCCCGCAUUACCAAAGUAGGCCUAAAAUUUCCUGGUUGUAUAGCAUAAACCACUAAACCAAACAGAGGCAUAUAUUUGUGUCAAAGAUGACAUGAGCUCCAGCUGGUGCAUCUUUCCUUAACGCUAAUCCAGAAGUUCCCUUAGAGCUUCAGUUGCAAAGUUCAACAAUCGAGGUCUUUAGGACUUGCACACUUUUCCUAAUUUUGCUGCAUCGCUAAAACAUCAUUUUAACCACUUGCAAGUUUAAACAUCAGUGAAAUUGCCCUCUCCCAAACAUGAAUCAUAUUUGAUCCUUAACAAGCAACUGGCAAGCAAAGCUUCAUCAUGUUGCAGUUAGAAAACAACCAUCAAACAAGAAACUAAACUGAUAUUUAAAAACAAAACUAAGAUACAAAUAAGAAGAAAAACAUUUCCCUAGUGAUUACUGUUUAAGAUUAUAACAGUUGCAUGAUGGCUGGAGAAAAUAUAUAUCUAAGAUAGGCAGAGAAUCUACCACAGUUAAGGGCUUCCGAAAGAUUCAACUAGUUUCAAUAAUAAAUAGCAGAUGAAGGAAAGGUAAAAUACAACAGACUUACAUCUUGAUAGGCCUUUGCCUCAGCUGUAUCAUCCAUCAAUUUCUGAACAUCUUCCAACUUGAUCUCACUUUGUAUAGCUUUGAUGGCAUUGUUUCCUGUCUUCAAACUUUCAAAUACAGCCUUUUGCUUACUUGCUAGUUCAAUAUCUGCCAACUAAAGCAAGUAAUAAGAACCAAAAAAAAAAAAAAUAAAAUAAAAAUAAAAAACAUAUUAUCAUACAAUCCAUGGGGAAAAGAAAGCUUCACGAAGAUCAAGCUAAGGCUUGUUUACUUCAACUUUCAGGCAGCCACGCAGGAUUUAGAGCAAGUAACAAGCAUUAAAUACGUUUACAGGACAGCAAAAACCCCGUGUCACACCUGGUUCAAUGCCAGCAUGGUACACACAAUACUACAAUAAUACAUACUAAUACCACAUUCCCUAAAACCAUAGCUUAGGAUGCAUUCUCCAUAUACAUCCACGUAGACGCAUAGAACUGAGCAGAGCAAUAAGAGCUUUCAGAUUUCCUAUUUAAGCUCUAAGUAGGGGUGAAAAUGGAUUGGAUACGGACUCAAAUGUUAAUCCCUAUUCAUAUAUAUAAAUUUAAGGCUAAAUUAUAUAAAACCCUUUUGCCAAAAUCCGAUUUUUCACUUUUCCCCCCUGUCAUUUAAAAACCUACACUUUGCCCCCUUGUAAAAUGAAAAAUGUUCACUUCGUCCCCUGCCGUUAGUAAUCCGUUAGGGUUCCGUUCAUAAAUAUUAUUAUAUAUUUUUUAUGCCAAAAAUGCCCUUAGCCUUCUCUCCUGUGAACACAGUGAGAGGCAAAAUGGUGAGGGAUAAAAUAGUCAUUUUAUCAUCACAGUUCACGCCGUACUCCCUUAUGAACAUUUUUCAUUUUAUGAGGGGGCAAAGUGUAGGUUUUUAAAUGACAGGGGGUGAAAGUGAAAAAUCAGGUUUUGACAGGGAGAUUUUCUGUAAUUUAGCCUAAAUUUAAAUCACAUCAGGUCAAAGCAGAUAUUGGACAUUGGACAGAUAAUAAACAUCAAAUCCAUACUCAGAAAAAUAGUCUCGUUGACAUGUCAGAUAUUAAAUAGAAUGGCUUCGAAUUAAUAUUUAAUAAAAUAUAUAAGACUAUAGAAAAAAAAAUUUGCAAAGUAUAUAUGAUGUUUCCCGAAAACUGUCUACAAAACUACUAGAAAAAUAACAAAAUCUAUAUAUAUAUAUAUGUAUAAUAUAUAGAGAGAGAGAGAGAGAGAGAGAUAAGGAAGAAGAGGUCGGCUACUAUACUCUUAUGAGUAUAGAGCCCUUCGUACUCAUAAAAGUUGUUUCGAUGAUGGGGUUUCUAAAUCGACGAUCCACUCCGUUAAACAUAAUCUAGAGUAUUUGAAACUUCUAAAAAAUAAAUUUCGAAAUUUUUCAUCAUAAUAAAGUCCAUUCAAGCGGCAUAAAAUGAACGCGUCAACAAUCGAAUACAUCCUAAAAUGGAUGAUCAGAUCCUUCAAUUUAAGAUCAAAAGUUAUUGAUUUAUCUAAUUAGUGAAUAGAAUUUUCUAUCAAAAAUUCAACCUAUUCCAAUUCUUUACACUGGUUAAACUACCAAUAUCCACACCGCGCUGUUAAAAAUUGUCAAUUUUGUGACCUUUUGAUCGUAAGAUAAUGAGUCAAAAAAUUAUAAAUAUUUAUUUUUAGAAGUUUAAAUGCUUUACAUAAUGUUUAACGUAUGAUCAUUGAUGCGGAAGUUCUAUCAUUGAGAACGACUUAUGAGUACAAAGGCGAUCGUACUCAUAAAGAAUAGUAGUCAGACGCUAUAUAUAUAUAUAUAGAGAGAGAGAGAGAGAGCGAUGAGAACGACUUAUGAGUACAAGGUCGUACUCAUAAGAGUAUAAGUAGCGAAGCUAAUAUAUAUAUAGUAUAUUAUUAAUAUAUAUAUAUAAAGAGGAGACGGAGGAGAGAGAGAGAGAGUGUGGCUGGAAUACUAUCGAUAGUAUUUGGUCUAUUUUGCUAUCAAGUUUUUAACCUUGCAUAGAAAUGGUAGGUUAGGAUAAUAUUAGUCCCUUAGGGUAGAGGAUCCCCCUAAGGUUGAGUGGUCUCCACAGAAUUAUAAUAUUUAAUCCAAUGGUUUUAGAAAUGAUCAAAAUAAUUAAUCUAAAAGCUACAAAUCUUGAUAGCAAAGGGGCAAAAUACUAUUUAAUAGUUUCUAGGCCGCAACUAUUAAUAUUAUAGUAUAUAUUAUAUAUAUAAACGAAGAGAUAGGGGGGAGAGAGAGAGAGAGAGAGAAAGAGAGAAGAGAGAAGAGAGUAGUUCUACGACUCGGCUCUUCGCGAUCGAUGGAGUUUCCGUAUCGACGAUCGCUUUCUUAGACUUGUUUUACAUAUUAAACUAAUUAGAAACAUAAGUUUGCCGAUUUUCAAUAUAUUUACAUAGUGAUUGAAAGGUGUUCAAAUCAACGCUGAAAAUAAAAAUCUCACAAAAGUGGUGAUUACCAGCCAUAAAAUUUUUUAUUCAGAGAUAUUUGAUUCUUGUGUAAAUAGUGACAAGAAUUUUCUAUCAAAUUCAAUGCUAAUUUGAAUACUUCUACACUAUUACACUAUAAAGGAUAUUACAUCUAACUCGAUUAAAAAAUUAUUGAUUUUAAACCUUUCACUUGCUAGUGUAAAUGAGUAGUCGAAAACCGCAAAAGCUUAUUUCUAGGAUAUGUUCAAUACGCGUUGUCAAUCUAGAAGAGCGAUCAUUCAAUUCAGAGUCCCGAUCAUCGAAAGGCUUAGGAGCCGGAAGCCUCGUGGGCUCCUGAAUAGCAACACAAAACUACUCUACUAUCUCUCUCUCGAGUCUCUAUCUCUCUCUCUCUCUCUCUAUAUAUAUAUAUAUAUAUAUAAAAGUUACAUACUAAAAAUAUACUAAAAGAAAUUUUGGAUUCGGAUUAUCCGUAUCAAAUAAAUGUCUAAAAAAAUAUAGUAGACCCAAAAAUCUAAAAAAUUUAAUGUGUGUGUAUACAUAUAUCUAUAGAGCUAGGCUGGUAUACUAUUGGUAGCAUGGAGGUCUCCGUGCUACCAAGUUGUUUUUAAUGAUGCGGCUUCCAAAUUGACGAUCGGUUCCUUUAGACUUGAUCUACACUAUUAAAAGUAUUUGGAAACUAAAUUUCAUAAUUUUUCAACAUCAUGUACCUAUCAAACGAGUAGUCUAAAUAUGAAUGGCUAAAAAUAAAAAUCUCAUAAAAAAUAAUGAAAAAAGACUUGAAUUUAAGAUCAGAGGUACUGAUCUUACUCUAAAUAGUGAAAAUAAUUUUCUAUAAAAAUUUCAUCAGAUUUGAAUUAUUUUAUACCGUUAAAUUCACAAACGCAUCACAUCGACCAUUAAAAUUGUCAAUUUUGAGACCUUUUGAUCACUGGCCAAAUGAUGUUGAAAAAUUAUGAAAUUUAGUUUUCAAAUACUUUUAAUAGUGUAGAUCAAGUCUAAAGGAACCGAUCGUCAAUUUGGAAGCCGCAUCAUUAAAAACAACUUGGUAGCACGGAGACCUCCAUGCUACCAAUAGUAUACCAGCCUAGCUCUAUAGAUAUAUGUAUACACACACAUUAAAUUUUUUAGAUUUUUGGGUCUACUAUAUUUUUUUAGACAUUUAUUUGAUACGGAUAAUCCGAAUCCAAAAUUUCUUUUAGUAUAUUUUUAGUAUGUAACUUUUAUAUAUAUAUNUUCUAUAUAUUAAGUCAUAAAAGAUAGCAAAGAAUCUCAUUAAAGAGAAAAAUUAUUCUUUUAUAUAUAUAUAUAUAUAUAUAUAUAUAUAUAUAUAUAUAUAUAUAUAUAUAUAGUAUAUUGCUUUUAAUAUACUAAAAAUAUAUUAAAAGCAAUUUUGGAUUCGGAUUAUCCGUAUCAAAUAAAAUCUAAAAAAUAUAAUGGACCCAAUCAGGAAAAUUUUCUAAUCCCAAAUUCAAAUCCGAAUCCAAAGUGGAUAGUAAAAUCCCAAUCAAUAUCCCAUUAGUGUCGGUUUCAAACUUGAGUCGGAUAGAAUAAUAUCAUUUUCACCCCAAUCUCUAAGGGAUAGUUGGGAAUCCAUCCUUGAACAAUUUGAUGUUGGAGACCUAGUUUGCGAUUGCAUGCUUUAAGGCAAAAUACUUGCUCCUCAUGCGGCAAUUCCCACCAUAAUUCAGUAGCAUUAGAUGAAGGAAACUCCAAAGCGCUUUCAGAUUUUUCAAUCCCUCUAAAGCAUGAAAGCAAGUGUAUUUGGACACCACAAUCUUAUAACAGGCCUUAGAAUUCCCAAAAAGUAGGAAAGAAUGUAAGAGAUCAGUUCCUCUAAUGCUGCAAAAUUGUGGUGGGAACCUCCAUUAAAAAAGCAUCCAUUAAGAUACUUCUCCAUGGAAGUUCUCACACCGUUUUGCAAUAGGGAUUGGCCAAGCUAAUGAUAUUCCUGGCUUUCUUGGAGCUCUAAAGCAUGAAAGUGAUUGGAGAACACAUUCCCAAGCUAGGCCUACAACAUAAAAGUGGUUGUGUUUUGGGAACACAUUCCCAAACUAGGCUUAAAUAACGCCAAAAGGCACUCUUGUGACUUCGAAAGCUGGACAUGGCCACAAUGACACCUCAAUAAUCCCACAUCGGAUAAUGUGAGAGAGUGUGACAGGCUUAUAUGUGACGGGCAUGCUAGAGAUAAUAGCUACGCCUAAGCAAGGCUAAUGUUUUGAGUCCAACGAAUAAUUAGUGCUAGUAGGUCAAGUCAUUACAGUUGGUCUCAGAGCCAAUGCACUAGCCGAAAGUGUAAGGAAGGUCUCACAUCGCUUGAUGAUCUUGAGCUAUGUGUGUGAUUGAGUUAACAUAGACAUUAGGGCCCAAAACGGGAGAAAUAUGUGACACCUCAAUAGUCCCACAUCUGAUAAUGUGGGAGAGUGUAGCGGGUUUAUAUGUGACGGGCAUACAGCAUACUAGAACUAAUAACUGGGCUUAAGCAUGUCGGAUCAAUGGUUUGGGCUCAACAAGUUUUUUAGUGCUAGUAGACCGGAUCGUUACAGCCACCAUGUAGAGUGGCACGACAAUCCUUAGCAGCAGACGCCUCUAGUGAAGUGGUUAGCAAAACAAAAGAAUCUAAUGCUUUGGCUAGGGAGGAAAGGUGAAAUGAGCCUUCGAUCCCUAAAACCAGAAGCUUCGAUUUGGAACUUCUGCUUCUACUACAAAAUGGAGCUAUUAGGGAGAUCUUACUAAAAAUGUUGUUAAUGUUUUUUCAAACAAGUCUACUCAAACAACACUUCUGCAUAAGUUCCAUAAGUGCCGAACAUAAGUGUAAAUGAUAUGUGACUGAAAUUUGUAUGUUUACAAGUUGUUUAUUAGGUAGAAAAGUACAGCAAUUGAUCUAUACAUCCUCAUAUUAGAUAAUCAGCUAUCAUAACUAAAAUAUAAUUCAAAAUUUACAAAUGACACAAUUUUUAAAUUUGAAUAUAAAUAUAUAGCACAAAUAACAUGUAAAUAGGUAGAGUUAGUUGAAUAUAAGUUUGUUAACCUUAUCUUAGUAAUCAAAAAUAAUGUUCACUUUCAAGUUUCCAAAGGUUGAGAAAUAAAAACUAGAGAACUUGUGAAAACAAAGGAUAAUUGUAUUUNAAUGACACAAUUUUUAAAUUUGAAUAUAAAUAUAUAGCACAAAUAACAUGUAAAUAGGUAGAGUUAGUUGAAUAUAAGUUUGUUAACCUUAUCUUAGUAAUCAAAAAUAAUGUUCACUUUCAAGUUUCCAAAGGUUGAGAAAUAAAAACUAGAGAACUUGUGAAAACAAAGGAUAAUUGUAUUUCAAUAUGCUAUUACUUUAUUAUAAUACUUGCCUUAAAAGGGUUUAGAAUUAGAUUAUUGGCAAGUAAUAUAACUUUUACGAGUAAAGAAAUUCCAUAAAUUAUAAUAAUCUACUUUGUAGUGAAACAUGUUUAUCAUAAAAAAUUUAUAGUUUUCCUUAUUAUCUAGAUAUCAAAAGCCACUUUCUAAUGCAAUAUACAAGCACGUAAAAGAAUAUCUAGAAGCUUCCUUUUGUAACUCUUUCAGACGGAAAGAAACUUUUCACUAAUAGUACUCCAAGAAAAAGUUUCGCGGUCAAAAGUUGUUCUCAACAAAGUUAUAAUUUCCAAAGUGAACCAAACAAGCCCAGCUAAAAUGGAAAAUUAUGCUUUGGCACAUAAUUUUGCUCUAUUUCAUUUAUAAGAAAAAAUUAAUGUUCUACAUAUAUAACCACUUACUUGUUGCUCAACAUUAAUUAGCCAUGUAUCAACUUGUUUAAGGAGCUCUUCCUGAGCUUUCUUCUUCUUCAAGGCCAGCAAGGCCCUGUCUUUCCUCUUUUCCCUAAUCAGAUCCUUUGCAGCUUGUUUUUCAGCCUCAAUCACUGUCUCAAGCUGGUAAAACAGAAAGAACAUAAUAAUUAAUACCAAUGGACACAACAAUUCUUACAUAACUUCAAAAAAAAUAAGGGCUGAAUAUGAUAUUCCAAAACCAAUUGUAUCUCACAGAUGGUCUCAAGCAUGAAAAUCUCAGAACCGAAUCAUCUUUCUACUUGGUAGAACAAAUAAAUAUGUUGAGUCUACUUCAGUAAUCUUAGUGGAAUUAGAAAAUCAAAGAACACACCAUAGUUACUAACUAGAACCUUAAACAUUAGUCCCAUAGGAUUAGGUCAGGAAGGGACUCAAUACACUUCAUGCAUAUAAAGGAGGACAAUGGCCAGGACCACUACAUGCAUAAUCUUCAGAAAGCUCAACUUUCUAACCAACUAGCAGCCGAGCAGGGCGAAGAGUUAUUUGAACUCGAAAUGUUAAAACACUACUUGUAAUUAUCUUAACUUCGUAGCAAUGAUAGAGACCAUCAUACCAACAGACUUCUGAAUUAGUUGGCAGACUGCUUCGUGGCACAUCACCGAAGCAACAAGUAGCAGUUCCAUAGAUGAAAAAAAACCCAUGGGCUUUGCUCUCAGAACCUUUCAAAAGCAAGGCAUCUUGAGAGACUGGUUAUGCCCAACAUUUUACAUAGGCAGUAGAACUUCUACAAGACGUGGAAAAUAAUAAAGUACUACACAUUACAUUGAAUGGAUUAGGAAAGUUGACAGCCUUCAGAUAUGUACUUCUUUCCAAAAGUGAGUAAUUCUCUCACAUUUACUGAUAUCACGAAAAUACUAAAAAGAAAAAGCAAGCAGAUUUUUCUUGUCUAAAUUACCUAAAGUUGAACUUUUGAUACUCGAGAAACAAUAGAAGAUAUAGUGUGAUGUACUAGUCAAUUAGAUAAAUUGAUAUAGAGCCUAAUGGCAAAGAAAUAAGACCCAGCAAUGGCUGGAUAUGCCCACAUAUAGACAAGUGAAUGAACUCACAGCAACUAGAUAUUUGCAUUCUCAUAACAUUUUUCAUAGAAUCUCACUUUUAUCUAAUAAUAUGAUAUUAGCAUUUGAUGUAAAGUUUUUAAAUAUGCAUCCACAUUUCGUACAAUUCCACUAGUUAGACAUAUUUGCAUGGAUGUGCAUCUACAUAAUUGACAUAACCAUAUAUCUAGGAAAAGCUUUUUGUGCAGUCCAAUAAAGGAAACAUCCUCUUUGUAUAGCUGUUGCAUGACAAUGCCACAGAUACGUGUAUUUUCCCUUCAGAGGCACUAUGUGGGGUAUAACUUAGCAUAAGAUGUAUGAAAAUGCUAAAUGGGAAAGGCAACAGAGAACACGCUUAUAAUUCAUUUGAAAGAUCUACAGGUCGAUUACCCUUUUAAUAAGAGAAAAUGAAAUUCUUUUAAAUCUUGUGUCUACCUAUAAAUGAGGUAAUUGCCAGAAAAAUGAUCAGGAGGUAACUUGCCAUCUAAAUGAUCAGUACCUGGAGUCAAAAAAUGAUUUAGUUGCCUUUCAUAGAAUCUACAGAUAGCCAGUUCGGCUUUUAUGUUUAAUUCUAUUUGCAUGUAUUACAGCAUAUUAUUAGCUUCCAAGACCAGAUAUUCAAUACUACAUCGAUGGAAAGAGUUGUGUAGAGAUAAUACAAACAACAACAAAGUUUUUUUUUUACUCGACUGCAGUUUAUACUUUAUAGCGAACAUCAAGCAAGCGAAAGUAGAAUCCUAUGCAUUAGCGGGAAUUUCUGUUUGACUGCAGCAUCGAUGACCAGCAAGUGAGUCACAUAAUAACUAGAAAAAUUCUGAGAAGAACUCGAGUUUAUAAACUUGAAGCUCUGAUUUCUUGAUACCAUGAGCUUGCAGAGCAGCGUGUCUAGAAACAUUACUUGCAGUAGGCUAUACUCAACUAUGGAUAUGAAGUAGUCUACACUUUAAAUCAUCUCUAGGUUAAUGAAGUAGCCUUUGGCUUCAUCAGAGCUGAAACCUUCAUUGAAGGCAAUGUUAAAAGCAGAAGAAUUUUCCUAGGCCAAUUCUACUUCAGGCGACAUCUUAGAUUUGCAAUAAAUAGUGCCGCUCUCAUUGUGAGAACCAAAAAAGGAAAAAAAAAAAAAAAAGAAAAAAAAGAAAAAGGAAAAGGCACUACUCUAUGAAAUCAGACCCCCCUCAGCCUAAAAGCAGAAUGCUCAGAUAACAGGAGUUUCACGCCACUCUAACUAAUUAGUAUGCCCCAAAAUGAUAGGUGAUUUUCAAUGCAAAGAUGCAACAAUCUUUGUCCUUAUCCAACAAAGGAAAAACAGCAAAAGACCGAGAAAAAUUCCUAGUUCUCUCUUAAAAUUAAGGGCCAAAGCUAAGCUUCAGAUCUUUCCCCCCAUCGAUUUAUGUAUGUCUACUCUCAUCUUCCCCUCAAAUCACAGAAACUCGGCGAAUCUCUCACAAGACCAAUCAAUACCUUAUGGACAUUCAAAAAUUUGAUAACAAAGAUGAUCUAAAAUAAUUAGGGCAAUCCAAAUUCUAAAAACAUAAAGAAAUAAAUAAAUAAAUAAGAUAAUUAGUAAGAAGAAGAAAUCGACAAAAAGCGGGAGGGAGAGAAAGAGAAAGAGAAAGAGAUCUGGCCUGCUGCUGGUACUGCGCGAGUUUUCGACGCUGCGUUUUGAGGGAGAGAAUCGCGCGGUCGACUUCCGUGAUCUUAGGCUUCUUCGUGAAUAUAUUCCCCAUCUCCCCUCCUACCCCUCUCUAACCUCUAUACGAUUUUGUUGAAUCCUAAUCCCCAGUUCUUAUGGAGAGAGAGAGAGACAGAGAAAGAGAGAGAAAGAGAGGAGGUGAUGGUCGUCGCGGCCGUCGGCAGCCCAAGAAAAUCACAGGAACGGCCGGCCGGAGGGAAGAAGUUGGGGUGCCAACGGAAUCGAGUUGGACGGAGGUUGAAGACGAGCGAGAAAGGGAAAAAGCGGGGUCUGGCAGCAGGCUGUCCCGCCGUGAGCUGUCAGUCCUAUCGGCUCGGGUCGGGUUGUUGUCGGAACGGCUGCCAUUUGGUCAUUGGACCCGUAUCCAGUCCAACUCUCUCUCUCUCUCUCUCCCCUUCCCUCUCUCUCUUCUUUCUUUUUUUUUUCUAUUUUAUUAAGGAAAAAAAAAAAAAGCCCUCCCACAGGCCACAGCUAGGGGUGGAAACGAGCCGAGCCCGAGCGAGCUUGCCUCAGCUCAAAUUCGACUUGAAAUUAAUUUCGAGCCUAAAUUUAAGGUCAAGCUCGGCUUGAAAUUAAUUCGAGCCGAGCUCAAGCGAGCAUGAUUUCGAGUCGAGCAAGCUCAAGCCCUAAGAGAGCCGCUUGAAAUUCUCAACAUCGUACGAUUAAUAGUUUAAUUUGUAUAUAACAUUAUUUACAAUUUGAUACAAAAAAUAUCUAAUAGUUCAAGAUACAAAAUAAUUAUAUGAAAUACGGUAUUAUAAUAUGAAGAAAAAUAAUUUACGAGUUGAAUAUCUAAUCUUUUCAGCUUCGCAUGUCUUCUCUUCCGCAUUCAAUUUUCAUAUUAUUCUUUUUCAUCUAUGUGGUCAAAAAAUGAAUAAAUUAUAUAGACAAAUAUUAGAUUAAACUAUCUAAUUAUAUAUAACUAAAAUCAAAAUUUAAUAUAAAUAAUAAUUUUUUACCUUAAAAAUAUUCUGUAUAUUUUCUCAAGAACCAACUUAAUGGAGGUUAUUGGGCUGGGGCGCGUGCUGUUCUUGAUGAUUGGCGGGGCUUCUGGUCUUGGCCGUUGAGGGGGAUGAGAGAGAGAGUAGAGAGAGAGAGUGGAUUAGAUUUAGGUUUUGUAAAUCAAGAAAAGGGGAAGGUGUAUUUGUAAAUUUUCUUUUUUGGCUAUAUUGGGUUGAUUCUAUGGCGGCAUAUUUGCUCAAUUUACUACUUGGUUACUCAUUGCUAUAUUAUGGGCUGGAAAUGGCGGCUCGCUGUUCGACUCGAUCUAUUUGGCUGCGCUGAUGAGCUCGACGCGAACUUAAGUGAGCCGAAUUUGACAAAAAGAAGGUCUCGAAACUUUAUUUCAAAAGCGAGGUUGAAUGUAUUACUCGCUCAGUUGAUUAGGUUCAGUCGAAAAGCUUAUUAUAUAUAUAUAUAUUCUAAUACUAUAAUAUGAUAUUAUAUGAUAUUAUAUAGUUAUAUAAUAUUAUAUAUAUCUAUAUAUAUAUAUAUAUUUUAUGCUUUAUAUAUAGGAUAGUACCAAGCUUGUAUUGAGUUUGCGUUGGAUGAAAGGAUGUGCGUUAGGAUUUGUCGUGGUCCCUAGGGUUGGUGUGUUGGUUAAGUAAUUUAAGCGAUAGAAUUGUAAAGGGUAAUCUAACGGUGACUAUAGUACAAGUAAACACAGACUAUAAUAGUAUUAGUAGCGACUCUCUCUCUACUCCUUCUUUCUCGUCUCCUUUCUUCUCUCUAUCUCUCUCUUUUCAUAUUAUAUAUUAUAUUGGUAUAUAGCGUACUAUGCUAUUAAUAGCCAGGGCUUUGGGGCGGGUACCAAUGUUUUUGCCUUGGUUAAGGGAUGUGCGGUUGGGGAUGAGUGGGCCUCUUUAGAGUUGGUGGGGUGAUUGGUUGAUGUUGAUUACGGGUGAAAUGAUAAAUGGUAUGGACUAAGCGGAAACUUCGGUAGACAAGGCUUCGUUGCUUUAAUAGUAUGUACCGGAUAUAUAUAUAUAUUAAUAUAUAAUUAGUAACUAGUUAUAUUUAUAUAGAAUAGGCGACUAUAUAUUCUAUGUCCGAGCUCCAAGGUCUAUAGUGUUUAGUUUUCAUCUUGAUGGGUUCAAGCUCGAUCCACACGUGAAUUGACUAGUAGGUAUAUGAAGUUGGCUUAGGAAUAAUUUUAGUUUUUUUUCGAUAUCGUUUUACUGAGAAUAAUAUUAUAUCAAUGGAGGUGGGAAAUGAUUAAUUCUUUAUUGGUAUAAUUUUAAUUCCAGAUCAGAAUGUUAACUUAAAUACUUUAGUUUAAAGUGAUUUUUAUCACAAUUAAAGAAUUUGUUUUCUACCCGUUAAAUCUCACUUUUAAUAGCAUUGAAUUGCAUUUGAUGUUUGGUAUUUAGUAAAACUAUGUCGAAAAAUAUGAAAAUUUUUCUUUCUAGUAACUUUAUACCCUGAUCGUUUUGAGGUGAGAUUGGAUCGUUGAUUUGACGCCUAUAUUCGAACCAAAUUAGGACGGAGCUGCGGUACUUAGAUGUAUAGUGCUAGUCUAACUAUAUUUAUAUAUAUAUAGAGAGAGAAGGAGAGGGAGAGACGAGAUGGUGAGAGAGGAGGAGGUGUGGAGAUACUAUUAUUGGAAGCGACGGAGCUCGUGCUUCAGUUGUUUUCCGAUGUUGCGAUUCGAAUCGUCGAUCGGCCUCGUUAACUUGUCUAGAGAGUUUGGAGGUACUAGAGAAAAUUUUAUUAUUUUUUCGAUUAUCUUUCCUAUGUGAUCGAUGUGCUAAAUCACAAAUUUCAUAUGGCGUGUGUAUGCCGUAUGCAGGUUUACGGAAUGUAGAAUAUUCAUCAUGUGAAAUUUUGAUAGAAAAUUCUUUAUACUAUAUAAAACAAGAUCAAUAUCUUUGAUUUAAAAUUUUAAUGUCAUAUUAUUACAUUUUGUAAGAUUUUUAUUUUCAGCCGUUGAUUUUGAGCCUCUUCGUUCACUAGGCAAAUGAUAUCGAAAAAUAAUAAAAUUUAUUUUCUAGGUACUCCAAAUACUCUAGAUCAAGUUUAACGGAGCCGAUCGACGAUUCGAAAGUCGCAACAUCGAAAACGAGCUAGAAGCACGGAAGGCUCCGUGCUUCCGAUAACAUAGUAGCCUCACUAUAUAUAUAUAUUGUCACGCCCCGGAUUACACUUUCCCCGGGCGCGCCGACAAAUCCGCCGUAUACAAAGGAAUUUUUCCUGUAUACGAAGCGAUAGCUGUACCAGAAAAUCAGACACUACCACGAACAGUAGUAGAGAGCUGCUGGAGAGAACAGAAGCUAAACAAACUGAGUUUCAUAUACAUAGUCCAGAUCCAAAAUACAAAGCUACUCGCACUGGCGAGUUAAGUCCACUAUGUACAUAAACUCGAAACAAAACAUCUACCUGCAGUAGGAGCACCUCUAGCUCAGCACGUCGGGUAGGGCUCUAACUCGCAACGCCCUUGCCUCGAUCCUGAUCCGCGGACGGUGCAGCAGCCGGAACCUGUGGCUCUGCAAAAACAUAGGUAACAACUGGGCGUGAGAACUACUGUAAAAACAAGUAGUCCUCAGUGGGUACCGCCCAAAACAACAUCGGUCUACCCACUAAGUCUACAGAAGGGAGCAAGAAUAGUAGUGAAAUGCAGGAAUAAAGUCUACCGCUAUCAAAUACUACACUAUCAUGCUCUACACUAACCAACUGUAGGAAAUGUCCAACCUGACCCAAUCCAAUCGGGACUGUAAGCAUACCCGUCCCCGGGACUGUGAAUACACCCGUCCCUGCCCCGUUGUGACUGUCAAGCUCUAUCCACACUAACUGGUCCGUGGAGAGCAAGUCCAACUGGCAUGAGCGACACCAACGCGAAAGCACAAAGCCUGACUCCGGAGUGGCACUCGUGGGCGCUACCCAACCGAGUAUGCAGCGUAUCUCUGUCGAGCUCAAACAGGCUCCAACUAGCCAAAGUCAAGUAAACAGGGUCAAAACAGGUCUACAAACCAAACUCACGUGCCCUCGGCACAAUCUGUGACCAAAACAAGAAUCUGGGUCCACCGCUAACCCGAACGGCACCCAACGACCCGAAACAGCCUAAACUCUGCUGAAAAAUAAGCUCGGCAUCUCAGCACGAGCGUAAAUGCCUUCUAAACUACCUGGGGUACUCACAACCCGAAUACAAUAACUGUAUAAAAAUACAACGGCCCCUAAGGCUAAAUCAGAUAGUUAACAUAUGCCGAUCGUUAUCGCGUUUUCUCCUAAGUCAAAUCCAAGUCCAACAUGUAUGUUCAUAUUUAUUAAUCAUGUUCUCAAAUCGUAUUUAUCCAAGAUAUAAUCAAUGAGAUAGAGCUACGGUGCGUGUACAUCUUCACCUCAAGAUUGAAAUGCCUUUUUGCGACAAAAAAAAGGGAAAAAAACUUGCAAAUACCACCAUGUAGUAGAUUUUACACCUUUUUAUUUUAGUCUGUCGGUUUAACAGUGUGAUAAAUUUGAUGCUCUCUGCGUCAUUUUUUGAUCCUUUAUUAUCAAUUAUUAUCUUUUUGUUAAGCAUCUUAGUGCAAAGUUAAGCUAACGUAGUAUACAGUGAAAUAUUUAGUUAAAACUGGGUGGGUCAGUGCCGAGAGUCUUUUGUACUAUAAUUUCAAUAAAAUAUUAAUGAAGAAACUGGACGAAAAUUAAAAAUAAAACCACGGAGAUACUAACGUUUGGCAUCAAAUUUAGACAUGGCGUACUAAAGUGAGAAGAAAAUUGAGCGAAAACAGUUAAAAAAAAAAAAACAGAAAAGGCGGGGGUUGAAGAGCAGAACGAAAGAGAGUGGGGCCAACACCUCACGGCAACAAUUUUCAAAUAGAAAGCGCGGAUGUCCAAAUACGGUGGCUUUAAUGAUUUGCGAGCCCACUCGGAACUGGAUCAUAACUGAGACACGUCCGUUGCUGGCAUUUCGCAUGAUCCGACACGUGUCCUUUCCGAGGUACGGUGCGUGGGGGCAAUUAUUGGAUGUCCAUACGAGGGUGAACAUCUAGUCCAAAUAGGGGAUGCCUUUGGGAUCCGCCAUUGCACGUGGUACAUUGCCUGUUUGACGGCCCAGUGCUGUCUUUCGUUUAUUUAAAAACUUCAACAUUGUAAUUGUAAAAGCGCUCAAGAAAUACUGUCUGGCUUCUGGCCCGGCUUGUGUAAUUACUUUUUGUUUUUUUUUCUCAUUAAGAUGGAAAAUAACAGCGGAGUGAAUGUUCAGCGUAUCGAUGUUAUUCGUAAUUUAUGGCAAUUUCUCAUAUUUUCAUUUUUCUCAAAAAUAAUAAUAAAUGGUGUAUACUUUAGGCGUACAGAUCUCCUAGAUUAGUAAAGAUAUGCUACUUUGUUUCGUUAAAAGGUUUCCGAGAUACUAUUUUCCCUUUGAGGGACUUAUAGAAAGGUUGCAAACAAAUUAUAUAAAAACUAUACGGGGACGAUAAGCAAUCUUUGUUAGUUAUUAUCUCCGUUCAGAGGAAAUUCAAAGGUGGUAUAUGCCUUUGUCGAGUUGCAGGAGAAAAGCAUGAAUUCAUACGGAGUCGAGGGUUAUUGCUACAGCUUUCUCGAUACGAGAAGAGUGAUAUAUAGUUAUUGAAUUUAGGGCCAAGGUUUAAAAGUACGAUUCUGGGUGUUACGGAGAACAAAAAAUGGUACGGGAGUUGCUUUCUGUGCCGCGGCCCAUCGUCGUGAAUUGUUGAGUGAUCACUUAUUCAAUGUGAAUGUGUGGGCAAUCAAUGUUAGAUAUAGGUUAAUAUUAAUAAAUAAAAAAAAAAAAAAGUAAAAUCUCGAUUCGUCUGAAAGCCGAGUCGGUGUUGGUUUGUUUAGGUGGACGAAAGCAAUUUGAGGGCGGAUCUCGGUAGAGAAUUUGGCCUUAGCGACGACGAAGUGGCGUCGUGACGGAGUGAUUGAUGGUCGGAGUCCGUGGAUCAAUUUUUUGGCUAGACGGAUUCGACCCAGUCCGGUCAUUAUGGGCUGGGUCGAGCAUGAAUAGUUUUGCUAUGUCUUGGACGACUGAGGACCGGUCGGUCCAGGCCGUUUUUUCGUGGCUUGGCGCCGCGACUGGAAUUUGCUUAGUCUCGAUUCCAUAUUUUUACAAAAAAUGAAUUAUGAUUUUUUUCCUAAUUCAUUUCCCAUUCUAAUUGAGGGAGUAAUGUAAUAUCACUGAAACACAUUUGCUACUUCAGUAAAAAAAAGAACAAGAAAAUAAGAAGGACAAUAUUCAACCACAUGGCCCGACUAGUGAAUGAGACACAAGCGUUUUUUUUUUUUCUCCCUUUUUGUCUUUUCAGAUAUGAAGCAGUGUUUAGAUUUUUGUCGCCAAGUCCUAACUUCUCAAAAUCACUUCUUAACCUAUGUAUUAGUGGUAUUUCCACUGUGCUAUGUAUACAUCACUACAGGUCGAAAAGUCUAUAGUAAUACCAACAAUUAGGGAACACCGAAAAUCUUUCACUGUUAAUUUCGUAGCGAUAAUUUGCUUGUAGGUUUUACGAACACUACUCGGUUUAUUUAUAUUUUAUCAGUACAGCUUGAGCCUGUUGUACAGUAUGUGGCGGCGCGCGACAGGCACAAUCUUAAGGAUCUUCUUUUUUAAGAGAAUGAUCACUCGUGUUAUCCUUAGCCUUUGCACCCAGAAAAGUUGAGAAACCCCUUUUUGGUAACUUGGCCAUGACAGCGUGCUGAUUUUGUUUGAUCGAGAGCCCGUUGUAACAUUUUACAUCUAUUCCUUUCUUUUUUUUUUGUUUCUUCUUUCCUAAAGCCGGUUAGUUAAACCAAAGGUCAAAGAUUUCUUUAGCCAUAUUAGCUGCUGGACACCUUUUGCGCGCGUACUCCAUGUAGUUCGAAGUCAUGUCGUUUACUGUUUCCUUGUAGUCUAAAAGAGUGGAUUCAGCGCAAGGCAGAUAAGAACAAGAAAAAGGAAAAAGAAAAAAAGGGUAAGACAUGCGUAGAGAAUGUAUUUUUAAAGAAAGUUGAGAGAUAGUUUGCGAUGUUAGGCGGACUUACAGAGAUGUAAUCCCAAAGGCACCCAUACGAGAUGGACUUGCGAGAAGCAUAUUCUCCGACUGGUUUCGAGCAGGUCUCGAAGUUCGGCGGUGGUAUCGGCUCCUACCUGUUUCGAGAGGGAUCCAAUAUUUUCUCUUUAAGAGAGAGUAAAAUGGAGGGAUUUAAGCAUGAAUUAGCAAAUUUUUUAUCGAAGCUGGCGGAAAGGUGGUGGCAUAUCUGUUUUUUGUUGUUGAGCGUGUAAAAAAAGGCACUGAUCGCAGGAAAUUCAGAUUGGAACUACGUGUGACAAGGAUUGAGGUUCAUGAUUAUGAUCAUGGAUCGAUGAGAAACUGACGAAUGAACGUUACUGCUUCUCCUCACUUUUUAGUUCAGCCUCUUCACUUAGUGUAAAUAUUUGAUGGGCUGAAUAAGCCCUUUUAGUCCCGGUAAAUCUCUCAGGGCCUACUGUUCAAGUGCUAUGCAUUCGCACCAGUUAAGAUACUAUGGUAUGCGUGCUGAUGCUAUAGCUGAUGUUUAGAUAUACGUGAUGAUUGACUUCUCGAGUGUACGUCGUAUGUUUAUCUAAAUUGGGGAAGAUUACCCUACGCAUGGACCUGGAGUUGCGCGGGGUUGUGCUUGAAGCUCUGGCGGCAUUACUUGUACGGCACACUGCCAGAUUUUACUGAUCUAGAAAUCUCAAGUAUCUGUAUCACAAAAGGAGUUGAAUUUGAUCCAGCGUCGGUGGUUGAGUUCUGAAACUAAUUUGAAUCAUUCCAGUAUAUCCGGCAAGCAGCGAAUGUUGCGUCUGCAGAUGCGUCUAACGCUGGAAAGACAGCAUGCAGACGGCGAUGAUUCACUUUUCUUGAAGCUAGGAUUUGGUGAUAUAUCGUCGGUGAUUUUCUACUCAGUGAGCUCUAUAUUCUAACAUAAUUGAUUAUCGAGUGAUUAGCGAUAAGUAAGCUGAGACGGUGGACUCGAGAUAGUUUCCCUGGAUUUAUGCCUGAGAUUGAGCGAUUAUGAUCUUACAGACCCAUCUGUGUUGGACAGUUAAUUCGAGAGAACAGAGUGGAGAUCCACAGCUUGUCGAGGAUUCAGAGCGCUUGAGAUGCGGACAGGCUGAGGUUUUUUGCUGUGGGACGUGUCGGUGAGUACUAGCUCGCCCGGUACAGGAGGAGUUCGACUUGUGCUGUACCUAUGAUUUUAGAGAUCCGGACGUAUGAUACUUGCCAUCUGACAUGACUAUUUAACGAGGAAAAAGAAUUUCUCAAAUAAAAAGAAUAACACUUGCACAGUGAAAAGACAACAGGGGCACACACUACUGAUUAUUGAUAUUAUGUUCAGGAGGCUCACUGACUUGAUUAACGAACCUAUUAAAUUGUGAAAUUACUUCGCUAUUAUUCUCUUUUUGGUGAUGAGAAAAGAAAAUGCAAUAUCACUUAGUAUUACCAGGAUUUAGAAUUAAGUCAUGUUAAGUCAGGACCCGGUGUCUUUUCUAAAUCUCUUGAGGCUUUCGUCGAACCUGUCAAGUGGUAGGAAUGUCAUAGUAAGAAUUAUGUUAAUCGAAGGGAUGAUUAGUGCAGAUUGGAGAUUUUGAGAAAGAAAUUGGAGCUCUAAGUGUUCGAACAACAACCAUCGUUAAAAAGUUCAAGACAGAGAAUAUGGAGAAGUUGGUACUGUGUUACUUGGCUGUAGUCUUAAUAUGUGAGGCUUUUCCCGAAAUUGGGUAGAGUUAGGCUCAUCACCAUCUGCUGCAUGGUGCCACUGUCGCCACACUCAGUCCUAGCUACUGCAACUGCGCAUUGAAACUUGCAUACUCGUUAAUUCUCAAUUCGAAGGAAAGGAUAACUUAGGAAAUAAAUCAACGGCUAAAUCCACAUUUUUACUCUCCGCCCAUGCAUGCUCUAACAGAUGGUCACAAAUUGUGGGAGCACUGAGUUUCAAAGCAAUUGCCUGAGAGACGACACAGGAGUAGUUUUGAUGCGAUUGUAGGUUUGUGUGAUGGUGGGCAGACUGACCAGUGCACCUUUUACAGUGCAAGACCACUUGUUCCGAGAAAAAACAGCCAUAAUUCGACCAUGUUACUUGGAUGGGGAUAGUGAGGUUGCAAGUCAGGUAGUAUAGAGUAGUAGACUCUAACGCUUUUCAUAGAAUAGAAAGAGACGACAUAGCUUUUAUUUUGUUUCAACAAUAAACGUCAAUCCCAUGCUAUAAUGCGCCUUGCGCCACGCGAUCGGUAAACAGAUUAAUCCAAUCUACUUUCUUUGCGAGCUCCCUCUGAAAAUAAAAACGUAGUUGGGCAAAUUGCUCAAAUAGUUUUUUGGCUUACUGAAUAGAGGAAUGAAACAAAUAUUGAGCUUACUCGCAUUAGCGUAGGUGUAGGGUGUUUACUGUAAGUCAUGCAAGAACAAUAGGAAUUAGCUCUAAUUGGAGAACUAGAUUCAAGAACGAGAAAGAAACUUACAUUCCAUGGUCAGUCAACGGAAUCAGACUCUAUGAGGACAUAGUUGAGCGGUGUGUCCUGGACGGUUGGAGCGAGCGGUGUAGGCAUUGAGACUGGUUUGAGUUUGCGGAUUACAACAAGCAGCUAUCAGGCGAGAUUUCCAGAUGGCUCCGUUUUUGAAGUUAUGGGUCACUAAGCUAGUUCUCUUCAUCAAUCAUGGAUGUUGCAUACUGAGUUCAUUUGACAAAACCUAUCCUUGAUUCUUGCGCCAGAAAAAAUCGUGUUCUCUAAUCAGUAAUCUCCUCCUCCAUGGAUAUCCAACAAUAUUCGUUUUCGGGCUUCCUCAGGGGGCACAAGCCUCCUUCUGCCCUAAAAGCCAAUCCUUAUAAAAAGGGCAGAUUGUAAAGUAUUGAUGUCCAUUUGUUUUUAACAAAUUAUUGCACUAUACAAUAUUGAUAUAUGCAAUUAAAAGGUAGCCUUCAAUCUGUCCAAGACCUGAAUGGUUUUGGACCAGGAUGUCAGAUCAUGAAAUUUCCCUUAGUUUUGCUGCACGGAGCAAGAAAAUUUUUUCGUCACAGCAGGUCAACAGCUGAAAGGCGUUGUAGUGCCAUAAAAACCAAAUCAGAAUCUUCUUAUAGUUGAAGGACACUUUAUAAGUCAUUGUAUCUUAUAUGUUGAAUGACAGUUCUGUAUAAUCGUCUUAUUGCUUUAAUCACCAAAAAUACAUCCCUUAGGCCUUCAUAUACUUUCUGUAUUUCGUGUUGUUAGUCACACCUCUUAGUCUUUUCUUUUCCAAAGGAGAAGUUGAAGAAAAGUGCAUGAUAGACUGGUUUAAAGCUAUUCAAAGAUCUAGUAUUGGUUACGCAAAAUCAAAGGAGCUAACUUAUUUAACAAACUAUUUCUCUGGUUAUCAUAAUCCCAUAUCUAAUUCGAUCCAUUAUUAACAUAAAGGAUAAGAAACAGAUUCAUCUAAAAGAAUCUAAAGGGGAAAAGAAACACCUGUAGAAAAGUCACGGCAUAUCAUAGUUCAAAACAGGAAAUAAUAUUAUACUCUUAUUUGCAAAUUAGGCCAUAAGCACGCUUUUGAACCAAGGGCAAGUUUGUAUAGACGCAGAUGUCAGUUCACUUUGUUUUGGUGAUUUGAUUGGAGUGUCAACUUGGAGAGUAUUCCAGAAGAGUAACGCUUUUUGGUCCCUCUGUACUGUUACUCAUAUUUGUAGCCUGACUUGAAAUACACUCACUAAGGUUCUUCUUAUAAAGAGGAGGCAUUGCGCCAUCGCGUAAUUGUUAGUCAAGAGAUGGGAAUUCCAUGUGACAUUAGUAUCUAGCGAGUCGAGAACGACCCUAAUUGUUAUACUUCACCUACGGAGCGUAAGAUCAUUUAGAGUUUAAGCGUGUAGUGGAUUGUAUGAGUGCACUGUUAGUCUCUAUUUACCCGGGUCUCGGACCAUAAGAGAAGAAACAAUUCCACAGGGAAAUUUCCCGAUUGGCAGUGAGUGGAAAAAAGUUUUUCCAAAAAAAAACAAAAUUUACUCGAACGAUAAGUCCGUUGUAGGCCUUUUUUGAAGGGUAUUGGGAGGAGUCGGACUGCAGGUUACCUUACAGGAAUUGAAUAUACCCUCCUUAAUCCACCUUAAUGGAUACUGGUCAUUCGCUGAAUCUAUCUGUCCUAUCACAAACGUAUCUCAAUCAGGGACUAUGAGCGAAUAUUAGUUUUUCUCACCAUCCUUUAUCACUUUGUUGAGUCAAUAUAUCAUUUCAUCUCAUGAGAAAUAUUAACAUAGGCGGAAAGAAAUCUACUGGAUCAGAAGGAACAAAGGGGUCACGAGAUGCUGUGAGAUCUCUUGGCUGUUGAGGAACGUACAAGAACAUCUUACGCAACGUGGAUCUGUCAGAUCAUCUUACGAUGCGACCCGUUCGGACCGGGUGCAGCGAGAGGAGCAAUCCGAGGGGGCGCGCGGGACGGCGACGUCUUUCGGGUCUCAGAGGCGUGGGCAUGGAGAGAGAGUCCACUCGAAUCGUGCCACUCCUUCGGUGUGCGCUACUGACGUCUUGUAUGAUUAUUACUUUCGGUGCCGCCGUCGCACUAAGAAUCUCUGUUAGUGGGGGAGAGGUCAGACUAUCCUUGCUUUUUAUUUCUUCUCUAUUUAUUAUCUAUUUACCUUCCUCUUGUACGCGCCCUUCCUUCUCCCGACGCCCCGUUCCUCUCCUCCGCCACACGCACCUGGUAUAACUCGUUCCGUCAUGCACCGUUGAUAGGCACCACCUUCGAGCGCCACGCUCCCUCCUCCGUCGCUGCCGGCGCGUCCGGUCACAAUGCAUCGGGCUGAGUGGCUUGGGCUCCUCCACGGCGACACCAGUCCCGAGCCCAUGCUGCUCGUUAUUUGUAGCUAUAUGGCUUGAGAUGAGAGAAGAUUCGUCGUGUUACACUUAUCUUCUCCCUCUGCGCUUGAAAGGCGAGAAAUCAGUGGAGGUAUGUGGAGCUUGGAGUGACUAAUUGCCGGCGAGCGUUGGAGCGGCAGUGCGUCGUGGUAGUGCAUUGGGGAGGCAUGCUACUGCGAAUUUUUUCUGUCGAUUCUCCUACUUUGAAUUAGCUUUCGAGGUGGUUUACAUCGGUUUAUUUCCUAAGUAUGCAUUAGUCGACAUGUAUGAUGGUAGUUGUAUAAUAUGUANNNNNNNNNNNNNNNNNNNNNNNNNNNNNNNNNNNNNNNNNNNNNNNNNNNNNNNNNNNNNNNNNNNNNNNNNNNNNNNNNNNNNNNNNNNNNNNNNNNNAUGAUUUUGAAACAUAAGGUCAUUUUUUUAUUUCCAAAUUUUGAUGUUUCGAUGUAUUUUGAAAUCUUAUAAUAUUUUAUCUUCAUCAUAAUGGUUUUUGGAGUACAAGUUUUAAUAUUUAUGAAAUUAAUUUGAUUUUGAAGGAUUAAAAAAAAAAAUUCAAAAUUUUCGAAAUCCAGCAAAGUGUAUUGGUAGCCGCGGUUUUAAUACCGGUUACAGGUUUUCGUUUUUUCUCCAAACUUUAUCAAAACUUCUCCUUUCUCUUAAAACCUGUUACAGGGCACGUUUUUUCUCGACAAUAAAAAUGGAAAUUAAAAAAGAAAAUAAAAUAAAAGGGUUAAUGGCUUCUGUAAGGAGCAACAACAAUCCGAAGAGGCCACAGUUCUUCAAAGUGCUUCUUUCUGGUUCUUUCGAAAGUUGUGGAUUGUAUGUAGUCUAUGUGAAUUUAUCCUAUUCAUGCACUAACAUUAUUGGUACUCUCUCUGUUUUUGGUACUUUCUUUUGGCAAUUUUUGACAAAAAAAGGGAGAGAGAUUUAAGAUUUUCAUUGCCAAAGGGGGAGAUUGAGAGAUUUAAGAUUUUCAUGAACAAAUGGGGAGAGAUUUUCAUUGUUUUUAGAGAAGUUCAUUUUUUUUUUACCUAACUUUGUUCGAGGAGAAAGUAUUCUUUCUGCAGAUUCUCGAAGACUACAAGACUCCUUGUGUUUAAGUCAUAGAGUUUGUUUAGGAGUUGCAAAAUUGUAAUUUUGUAUUUUCUUUGGAUUUUUCACGCGAGAAGUUCAUUGUUUUGGUGAUGGCAAUGAAUUUUAUUUUUUUUGUUAGGAGAAUUGAGCAUUGUGAGUAUUUUGAUGUAUUUUUGAGUUUUGCCAGAAAUUGCCAAAGGGGGAGAUUGUUACGGAUUUUAUGUUGGCAUAUUUCGUGAAGUUAGUCGGAGUCUUGAAUGUUUGAAGAAGAAGAGAUGAAGAUCGAAGACUCGAAGACUCAAAACAUGAAUGCAUAAUGCUUGGUAAGUUUAAAUAUCAUUGGUGAUGAUUUAUAAAUAUUUAAAAGUGUUUGGAAGACUUAGGAUGGUUUUUAAAAUAUGAAUCUGGACACACUGAGUUUUUCAAUGUUCUGGGACCGGUCCCCGAGGGUCCUCACUGCGUGGGAUGUUGAGGCAACCAGUCUUUGGAAAGGGAGGCCGGUUCCCGAACAUGGGAUUUUCUAUCACGCAGCGAGGGACCGAUCUCUGGCAUGAGAGACCGGUUCCCAAAGCCUGUGUUUUCAGGCACGCAACGAGGGACCGGUCUCCCACUCGAGGGACCGGUCUCCUAAAGACCGGUCUCCUCGAGAAGACCGGUCUCUGAGGACGACAUAAGUUUUUAAAAUUGGGUUUUUGCAAUCCUAGUUGGUUUCUAGGUCUUCUAAACCUAUAAAUAAGAUGUAGGGAUGUUUCUAAAAUAUAACAAAAUAUAGAAUAUCUUUUUGAAACCCUAGAAAUUUGUUGGGUGCAUUCUUUCUUCUCUCGAACAACAAGUUUCUAUUGGAUCAAUUCUUGAAACCCUAAUUUCUUGUUCUUUAUGGAGAAUUGAUCCGGCUAUUGCUUAGAAACAUCUUCUAUGGUUCUUUAAUGAUUGUCUAAGCAAUAAAUCAUCAUCAAUCUUGGUAUUCUUGCUCCGGACGGAGUGUGCUCGUGGAUUCGAGUGGGCGUCAUGGAUUCGGCGUGAUCAAGGCUUCGUGGAUUCGAAGUGUGGACGUUUCGUGGAUUCGGGACGUGGCAUUCAUGGAUUCGGACGUGGGGCGUGGACAACCCGUUCGGGAAUCGGUCUCCCUUUCCAGAGACCGGUUGCCUCAACAUCCCACGCAGUGAGGACCCUCGGGGACCGGUCCCAGAACAUUGAAAAACUCAGUUUGUCCAGAUUCAUAUUUUAAAAACCAUCCUAAGUCUUCCAAACACUUUUAAACUUUUAUAAAUCAUCAUCAAUGAUAUUUAAACUUACCGAGCAUUAUGCAUUCAUGUUUUGAAUCUUCGAGUCUUCGAUCUUCAUUUCUUCUUCUUCAAACAUUCAAGACUCCGACUAACUUCACGAAAUAUGCCAACAUAAAAUCCGUAACAUGAACGAGGCGAAAUGAAAUCAUAGGUUUGUUUUCUCUGUCGUGCUGAUCGCACUGGUGCGAUCCGUUCGCAAAUCUGACCGACGGAUCUGCAGAUAUCGCACGUUGAUCGAGGAGGGGUCUUAGAUGGCAAAAUGGUAUUUUUCUGAAAAGCGCAAGAUUUUAUGUAUCGUUUUGCGUGAAAUCGAAGGCAGAGGUGUAUUCACGCAUUUUACUCGCGCUGUGAAGGACUCAGUUUAAAAUUCUGAGUUUAGCUUGACUUAUUUGCAAAAUUACACCAUGGUAUAUUUGGUCUUCUAGGGUUUCUUCAUGCUAACCCUAACCCUAGCGACCAAGCUAACCCCCAGCCACCUCCUUGCUUCCCCCUGUCCUAGCCGCACGCCUCCCGGUCGCCGCCGACCGAGCCCCGGCCGGCCAGCAGCAGCUGCAGCCUCCCUCUUCAUUUUUUUCAUCUCCUCCACCACCUUUCUCUUUGCCUCUUUGGCCGAGGUUGGUACUGAGCACCCCCUCCCUUGGUCCCCUCUCCGGCGUCACCCCCGGAGUCCCGGUGACCCUCGCUGCCAACCGCCGUCGCCUCUACGUGCCGCCGCUGCCACCCUUGCAGCCUACAGCCAUCCAGCCCGAGCUCGGGCCGAGGUCUGUGUGCGGCUUCUUCCCCGCGCCGCCGCCGCUUUAGUCUACCUCCGCGGCUUCCCUCCGGCCUCCUACCGUCCACCGCCGUUGUCCCUGAGCUCCCAAGCCACCGCCGUGGCCGCCAUUGCCUCUGGCCCCAAGCAGUAGCUUGUGCGGGCUUGGCUCGCUCCGCCGACAUCGCCGCCGCUCCUCGCCGCCGGCCAAGGUGAGCACCGUGGUCCUUCCCUCCCCCGCACCCACCUCUAGCCUUUUCGGCGGUGUCGCCCCUUUAGGGCCUUUUUGGUUGCUGUUUCUGGUUUGCGCAGGCUUUUUCGGUGAUCUGAGGCUGUCCCGAUGCCUCCGGAGGUGAGCACGGUGGUCGUUGGUCAGUGUCGAUCACAGUGCUCACCUCACUUUGGAUCAACGACUUCCGGAAUUGCAUUUUUGGCGUGGUUUUCCCCGAGUGCGCGCUAUUCACAGAACUUUCGGGUCACUCCUGCGCCUUGCACAGUGAGCCGUUGGGCUCCGGAUCGUGAGCACGACCUCCGGUAUGUCGAGACCAAUCAGUACACGUCUCGACGGACCUUGGAAGUCCUUGGUUUGUGAAAACGAGCCACAUAAUCACUCGAUUUACAUAAAAUGUCAGGAUUUUAUGUAAAUGUAGGGACUUUUAUGCAAUUGUGCACCUUGUGGCUACUGUGGGCAGUGUGUAUGUGUGUGUAGUGAUCUCUGGACUGAUUGUCCAAGGUCCGUGAGCCUUUGCGGAAAUUAAAAGUCGAUUUCGGUGCGUUUUUAAGCGAAAUUCACCGGCGGAACGCGGUUUCGGUUCGGAUUUCAUCCGACGGUGUUUGUUUGCUUCGUGAGUUGUUGCUGAGCCUUGUCGGUUGGUCACCAUCAUCAUAUCAUAGGUUCGAAGAUGACAGGUGAGCGACGGUGGGUUCCGGUGUCGAAAUUGACACUUUCGGGAACCCGUAUACGUACAAUUAUCCGGCGAUAAUUGUGUAGUUGUGUAAACUUGUGUUUGCUGUCAAGACGUCCAAAUCGGGAUGUUUUGUGGCAGCGGGUGACUCGUGAUGCGAGUCGGUGAGUUUCGGGACAUUUAGUGGGUCCCGACGGUAUCCCGGUGUGAUUUUCAGGACUUCUGGCGAGUUACGAUGAUCGAUUUUGGAAAACCAAUUUUGGGGAAUUGUGUGGGGUUUGUGAGUCAUGUAUUCUAGAUUUUUGGGUUAGUUACUAACUCGGUGGACCUUCGUAGGUCCGAUUGUCGAUCGUAUACAGUUUGGAGACCGGCGCGACUUUAGAACAGGUGGGUGCUUCGAGCUAGUAGUCGGUGAGAUCAUUUCACCUUCCUCUAUUUUUCUAUUCCAGCAUUGUACUCUUUACAUGUCGUUGCUUUGUUUAUCAUUCGUAUAUCUUACUUUAUUAGUUGCAUAUUGUUAGUUGUUGAUAAACAUGUAGAGCAGGCUUGCAUAUAGAUAUUGUAUCUUUGUGGACCUUGGGUCCAGGCAACACAUCGACUCCUUUGUCAUAUGUUUUGAUCUGGUUGAUCGUGGUUUGGCGUUGUACGCCCUUAUUUCUGGCUUCGGCCUAGGCACCAGCUUCAGCCGGCUUUCGCAUUUGAGCAUAUCAGCAUGACUUAGUCACAGCACUUGGGGGUAUUCAUGACACCAGGUCGGUUUGGCCACCGACUGGAGGUGUACUUAUCCGGAUAGGUCAUCCAGUGGGCAGAUGAAUCAGGUCGGUGCAAAUUUGUGACAGGCAACGCUUGAGGCCUACGGACCAAUAUAGCAGGCACUCGAUUGGGUACAGUUUCAGUUUGGUUACCUUGAGGCAUGUUUAGUAUUGUUUUCCAUACAAUAGCAGUCUUUAUUGCUUGCUUCUUAUCUAUCUGUUAUAGCUACUGUAGUUCUCUUCAUAUCACAGUAUCUGUAUUUUGUUUACCUUACUUCCUUUAGUUUUCGGUGAUUACGACUUGCCUUCGUGGCUCUAUCAUACCUACUGGGAAACCUUGAUUGCGGUUUCUCACCCCUCAUUUCCCCAGGUGAUUCGGGCAGGGAAUUGGCAUUGGGCACGAAAAGAGGACGAUCUAGCUAGCCUGCCGUAGCGACUGUCACCUGGAUUACUUUUAUUUUCGCAUUUAGUAGUUUAAUAAAUAAAUGGUUCAGUUAGAUGAUCUCUAUGAUUGUUUGAAUGUUCGUGAAUUGGUUUUAGUGGAUCUGUGGAUGUUUUUAGUAUACAUGCGAUUGGAUAAUUGGUUUUGGUUUUAUGUAUUCAUACUUGGUGGUUUUCUACCCAUCGAGGUAGUCGGUUUUCAAAAUGAUGUUUCCGAGUGGGAAACACUUGUUAAAAAGGUUUUCGAAUGAUUUUUGUAAAUGAUUGAAUUAGAGUUUAAAAAACAAAGCUUCCGGUUGGGGAGCACUUUUAAGUAGGAUGCUUGUUGUACUGUGCAUUGCAUCAUCCAGCGCUUAAGGAGUGUUUAGAAGCAUGCAUCAUUUCGAAGGAUCGCUAGCUGUAUGAAAAUGCAUGGCAUGAAUUGAUUGUUGAUUGAUAAAUGUAGGUUGUGGUUAAGAUCCUGAUGUAUCGUUGGUACAUCGUGCAAAUACAAAGGAGACUCUGUUUGAGUGGACAAAGAAACUUUGUAUUUGUGGCGGGUCUGUACGUCACGUGGGCCAGGUUAAAAAAAAAAAGACACGUUUUCUGCAACUCUGAUUUCAAAUAUUGUAUUCAUUUUAAAAAGGCCUUUAAAAUCGGCCUCGGGGCGUGACAUACAUAAUCUAGAUACUUAAAAUAAAUAACCUCGUUGCGAGAUUUUAAACUUGCAAGCGAAAGGUAGAGGAAAAUAUUUUUCAAAAUAAAAUUCCCACUGUGAGAUUUUUCCUCACAUGCAAAACUUAGGGAAAAAGUAAUUUUAGAAAGUAUAAUCUAACGAAAGAAAAUAGUCAAAGGGUUAAAUUUAACAGCAUAAUUUUAAUUAUGGUAUUAAAUAAUUAAUUAAUUUAAUUAAUAUAUUUAAAUUAUUAUUUAUUGCUUAAAUAAUAAAAUUAUUUAUUUAUUUAUUUAUUUAUUUAUAAUUAAUUAAUUAUUUAUUUAUUUAGUUAUUUAAUUUAUUAUUGUAAUAACUGAGAUUCGAAUAAUAAUGGCAAUUCGAAUUUGAACUUUUAAAUUUCAAAUGUUACUAUAUACCUAUAGUAUAUACUAAGCUAUAUAUAUAUAUAUAUAUAUAUAUAUAUAUAUAUAUAUAUAUAUAUAUAUAUAUAUAUAUAAUUGAGCUAGAAUACUUUUAGAAGCAGCAACCCUUUGGUGCUUCUAAGUUUUUAGCCUUUGGAUCUACUCCUUGAUUACUAAUACCGCUUGGAUCAAACACUAUUCCACCUACCACCACCUACCACAAUCAUCCCAACCCUAUAUCUCUAGCUCCAUCGAAAGGCUAAAAACUCAAAAGUACCACCCUCUUGGUACUUUUGUAAGUAUUCUAGCUCAACUCCCCUCCCCCCCCUCUCUCUCUAUCUAUAUAUAUAGAGAGAGAGAGAGAGAGUGAGCUAGUAUGCUUCUGGAAGUACGGAGCCUUCCGUGCUUUCAAGUCGUUUUCGAUGUUGGGACUGUCAAAUCGACGAUCAGCUCUACUAAACUUGAUCUAUAGUAUUUGAAAUACCUAGAAAAUAAAUUUUGCAAUUUUUCGAUUUUAUUUGCCUAGUAAUCGAAGGGGCUCAAAAUCAAUAAUUUUAAUGGCCGUGGUGAGCCGUUUGCAAGUUUAACGUUAUAGAAAUAUCCAAAUCACGUAAAAGUUUGAUAGAAAAUUUUUUAUACUAUAUAAAACAAGAUCAAUAUUUUUGAUCUAAAAUUUUAUCGUCAUAUCAUCACAUUUUAUAAGAUUUUUAUUUUCAGCCGUUGAUUUUGAGCCACUUUGAUCACUAGGCAAAUGACAUCAAAAAAUCACAAAAUUUAUUUUCUAGAUUCUUAAAAUACUCUAGAUCAAGCCUAACGGAGCUGAUCGUCGAUUCGAGAGUCCCAACAUUGAAAACGAUUUGGAAGCACAGAGCGCUUCGUGCUUCCAAAAGCAUACCAGCCGCACUUUAUAAAUAUAUAUAAUAAAUAUAUAUAUGUAUAUAUAUGUAUAUAUAUAUAUAUGUAUAUGUAUAUAUAUAUAUAUAUAUACAUAUAUGUAUAUAUAUACAUAUACAUAUAUGUAUAUAUAUAUACAUAUAUGUAUAUAUAUGUAUGUAUAUAUAUACAUACAUAUAUUUAUUAGAGGGAAGGUAGUUAGGAGUAAUAAGAAAGGUAGGUUGGUUGGUCAUUAUUGGUAUCAGAGCCAUCUAAGUCUUAGACUUAGAUAAGUCUUCGAUAAACCUGAGAUGUAUAGCAACCUAAGAACUCGCAGGCUUACUGUCUAUAGCAGGGUAAUACAUCACCGACAACCCAUGGUAUAUAUAUACAUACAUAUAUAUAUAUAUAUAUAUAUAUGUAUAUAUAUAUAUGUAUAUAUAUAUAUAUGUAUAUAUAUAUAUGUAUAUAUAUAUAUAUAUGUAUAUAUACAUAUGUAUAUAUGUACAUAUAACCGACCGUCCCUAGAGCAAGUGGCAAAGGGCUUGAUGAUUGGUACCUGAGACCCAAGUUCGAAUUCUAGUUGAUUCAUAUUUUCAGCUAAGUUUAUUUCUAAAUGAAAUAAACGAAGCGGGUAGCGUGCUACCUAUCUAUCAAAAAAAAUAAAAAAAAUAAAAAUAUAUGUACAUAGACAUAUGUAUAUACACAUAUGUAUAUACAUAUAUAUGUAUAUACAUACAUAUAUAUCUAUAUACAUACAUAUAUUAUAUACAUAUAUAUGUAUGUAUAUACAUAUAUAUGUAUAUACAUACGUGUAUAUACAUAUGUAUAUGUACAUAUAUACACACACAUAUAUAUAUAUAUAUAUAUAUAUAUAUAUAUAUAAUAUAUAUAUAGGUUAUUGGUGAAACCCGGAGAUGGUCAAUUUUGUCGCAAAUCGGUGGCCAAAUCGAACGAAACAAAAUUAUAGAUUCGAUGCCCCAGUUGUGCAAAACGCGCUGGCGUGAUCUGAUCAGAAAUUCGACGGACGGAUCUCCGGAAAUCGCAUAAAGUUCGCUGAGGGGUCGAAAUUUGGCAAAGCGGUAAAUUACAGAAAAACCCUAUGUAACACACUGAACUUUAGCAAAUUGUAAGGUUCGAGUGUUUGAUUAGUGUUCUGAGUUUUUCCAGUUAUUCUGGAGGGUCGCAGACUGUGUUCCGACUUAUGACUCGCAUCCUGAUGAGUGAGAAUUAAAACUUAGCACCAAAACCUCAAAAAUGCAGAUUUUGGGAUAGCUCUCGGGUUGGACUCUGCAGAGUAGAGUACCGGUACUGCAUUGCUAGAGUACAAUGCAGUACCGGCACUAGAGCUGGUACCGGUACUGCCCUGCGAUGGUAUCGGUACGCAGUGUAUUUUCUCGCCAACCCGAGGCUCGGGUUUGCGCGUGCUGCUGUCUGGUACUGGUACGCCGGCCCGUGUCACCGGUACACAGUGCAGUGGAGACUGCACGUUGUUGGAGGGCUUUUGUAGAUUGUUACAUCUCUGUAUAUACCCUUACAGCCCUUAGAUGGCUCUUUUGAGCCCUAAUCCGUGGAGAGCUCAGGUGAGGGCCUUCUCUCUUGCUUUUUCUCCCAUUUCUCUUGGUUUUAGCUUGUUUUGAUCUCUCUUUUCCUCUCCCCUUUGCUUCAUGUUGGGUUUCCACCAUUGGAGAAGCAUUGGAGCUUUGUUUGGAGCUUGUUGGAGGGGAGAACUUCAACUCUAGCACCUUCCUAGCUAGGUUUGGGACUUCAAGAGAGAUUAGUAAGCUUGAUCUUCCAUUAGAUCAUGUUUUUGGAGGAUUUUUGUGUAUAAACAUAGAAAUGAGAAAUCUAGAGUUUAUUUGAAAAUUUUUGAUUUAUAACUUUUGGAGCUUAAUUGAUUGGUUUAAAACCUUCCUUUAUGUUGGUUUUAAAGUGUUCUGGCUCUCAUUGGGAGAUUGAGAGAGACUUUCACCAUACAAGGUGAGUUUUGCCCUUUUCUUGGGUUGGUUAAUGUUUGAUCCUAGGAGUGUUCGUUCAUUGCAUUUAACUCUUUUAGAGUUUCCUUUAGGGAGCUAGGAGGCUAGUGGACACCUUCUUUUGCGCAAACGAAAGGGUUGUAAGGAGUUCUUGGUGGGUUUGACCUCACCGAAAUAGGUGAACUCCCCCUAUGUUAUUUUACUUGUUGUAAAAUAGAAAUUCAUGCAUAUUCAUGCUAGAUAGAGCUUAUGUGAAUUUUACAAUGCUUAAAAUACUUGUGUUAUGUUUCAUGAAAAAUCACCUCUAUGUAGUAGAGAGAUAUGUGCAUUGUAAUCAUGCAUAUGAAUAGCAUUCUUUUAUAUGAUUUGGAACCAUGUUUCAUAUGAUGAAAAUGGCUAGAAUAAUAUGCUCUUGGACAUAAAACUCAUGCUUGACAUAGUGGACAAAAAUGCCAUAAAGAGGCGUUCAAUCUAGUGAAUGGUUAAACUUCUACAUGAUGACAUAGUGAUAGACCUUUGGGUAGCUAGCUUUUAUACCAUAUUUUAGACAUGAUGACAUUGGACUUGAGGCGGAUGAUUACGCUUGCUUGUCAUUGUACUCAUUCGCACAUGCUUGUGAGGGUCGCUCCACACAAGCCGGCACUCCGAAGAUGUUAGAUAUGGAUCCCAAGGAUCUGAAAGGUAAGUAACACCUAGAGGGGGGUGAAUAGGUGUAAAUCUGGCAAACAAAACAAAACUCGAUGCAAACAAAACAAAGUAGCAGAAAUUAAAGCAGCACACCGAGAAUUUAACGUGGGAAAACUCCAAAUCGGAGUGAAAAACCCACGGGACCAAUCACGCAAAAAAAAUCCACUAAGAAAACUUGAGUACAAGUGAUUUCUACGAAAUUACACGACUCAAUUUACCGAUUUCUUGUUGAUGGUGAUCUUUGCCGGUCCUCGAUCGAUAGGAAUCCACCAAUCGACCUUGCUGCAACUCCACGCAGCGUCAACGCCUCAACUCCUCGAAGCGUCCACCGAAUCCUCGGCUUCACGCGAGAUCCACGCGCCGAACCUCCUUCCGGAGCUUGUAGAAUCGAAGAUUUGUGGUGAUUUAACUUUUGAAAACCAUAAGCUAUGGGAGUUCACCUUUUAUCUAACAUCUACUUGAUUCUCGUAAUAAUUAUUGAGUAACAACGAAGAAUCAAGCCGAUGUUGAUUGCUAGAAACUCAUCAUGUAAAUCGAAGCGAAGAAAACGAGUUUCUAGGGUUUGGAAUUGGUAAAAUAUUCAAAAGCCUUAACUUUAGACGGCCCACAUAGCUUAUUUAUAUGUUUAGAAGACUUAGAAGUAGACUAGGAUUGCAAAAAGUCGUUUUCAAAAACCUGUGUCGUCCUCAGAGACCGGUCCUCUCGAGGAGACCGGUCUGUGAGAGACCGGUCUCUCAAGUGAGGAACCGGUCCCUCUCUGCGUGUUCAAAAACUCAGCGUUCGGGAACCGGUCUCUCAAGCUUGAGACCGGUCCCUCGCUGCACGACAGAACUACCAAGGUUCGUGAACCGGUCUCUCAUCUCAGGGGACCGGUUGCAUCAGAACUCACGCAGUGAGGACCUUAGGGGAACCGGUCUCUCCAUUUCAGGGACCGGUCCCAGAACACAUGAAAGUUCAGAAAAAAUAUUUUAAAGCAAUCUAAGCCUUCUGAACGUAUUCUAAUUAGGUAUCUUCACCACAAAUGAUCUUUUCUUCAUACCUUAGGUGUCGAGCUUUCCGAAUGAGUCUUCGUUCUCCAAUUUGAGUAACUUCUGCGAUCAACUCUUCAAGACUCCAAACAACUUUACGAAAUUCGCCAACCUAUAAAAUCCUUAACAAUCUCCCCCUUUGGCGAUUUCGUGACAAAAUAUACUACAAAGUUCGUACACAACGCAGAAACAAUAAAAAGAAGAUCAUCGCAAUCACCAAACGAUAAUCUCCCGCAUGAUCGAUCCAACAAACAAAAAUUACAAUUUUCAUAAUCUUAAUACAAACUCUAUGACUUAGACAUGGAGUCUUGAAGUCUUGAAUUAUUCCUGCAAAAACAUUCUCAAGACAUAAUCAAGAUUCAAGUAUUAAGAUCAAACAAAGUAUGAAGUCAUAGUUCAUAAUCAAACACCCAAAACACUAAAGUCCAUCUAAACAAAAUGCAACAUCAAAGCUAAAUACAUCUUAUCAUCAAGAACUAUCAAGAACUAAAAUAACUAAGCAAAGCGCAAAGCAAAGCUAAGCUAAAUGCAUCAUCAUCAUCAAAUGCAUCAUCUCAAAACUAAAAUAACUAAGCAAAGCGCAAAGCAAAGCUAAGCUAAAUGCAUCAUCAUCAUCAAAUGCAUCAUCAUCAUCAUCAUCAUCAUCAUCACAAUCUCCCCCUUUUUGUCAGAAAGCGCCAAAACGACAAAAAGAUAAGUCUGGUAACUCCUAGUCAGAAUCAUCUCCUGGAGGUAAAUCUGCCCGACAACAUCCUAAUUUGUCAAAAAUCAUAUUCAACAAGCGCUUCAUCUUGCUCACAUCCUUACGAAUCGCAGCUUGUUCUGCAGACAACUUCUGAAGCUCCUCAGAUAGACGUUGCUGCUCGCGAUACACCGAUGAAACGGAAAUAUCUUCCUCAGAAAUGUCCAUAGAAGGACGGGAAGAAGUAGCAGUAGCAGGAGGUGGAGCAGCAGGAGGAGAAGAAGCACGUUGAGAUGGGGUACGUAACUGCACCGAGGACUUCACAAAUGUCCUUUCAUUUAUCCGACCCAAACUGUGCUCGUAUGAUGUACAACGAACAUCCACUUCACGAAGUCGCAGAAUCCUCAUGAUUAUCAAAGGAAAUGGUAACCUCUCAUUUUGCCCGGAAGUCUUGAUAUCUUUUGCCAUUCUGCGCCAGAUCAGAAACGGAAUAUUCAUGUUAAUAUUUUUGGCACUUACAAUAUCCGGCCUACCCAAGAGAUACAUGUACAGAAUGCGAUCCCAUCUCAAGAUUUUCGUGUUUGCGAGAGGCAUGAUGUUGUAGCAAACCACGAAGUUCAGAAACCUGUACUCCAUUUUGAAAUCUUUGGACAUAACCAUAAUGCCGUUUGAUUCAGUACCCGGCAUACAAAUAGUGUUCAAGACACGGUUCCAAUCGCGAAGUGAGUCGAACCCGGCCUGCAGAUACUCCACUCUGUCAAUCUUUGCUUCCAUCUCUAGCACCGAAGCUAUUGUCUCAGGAGUGAUGGAUAACUCAACACAACGUACGGAAGUCUUAAAUACGUACGGACCGCCGUCGGAGUCACUGAGGUGACCUGCUCUCAUGUAAAAUUCUCUGAUCAACUCCAAGCAAUAACCGGUUUGCUCCGGGAAAUCACAAAUCUGAUGAAGAUUUUCCCGUUCAAAUAAAUCCUGAAAACCCGGCACACAACUAAUGAUACUGGCCACCCCAACAUCUCGCUCACCAAUGCAGUGUUUUGACGAGUACAUUGACCGUCGAUUAGAUGGAACAUCCUGAAGACUGUGACGUGGUGGCUCAGAGCCCGGUUCUCGAAUUUCAACACCCCCAGACUUACGACGACCGGGACGCUCAGUCGCCUUUCCUUUUCCUUUGUCCACAGCUUUUCCUUUUCCCUUGCCUUUCGCAGUAUCCUUAUCCUUAGCUAAUACCUCAGGAACAAAAGUCUCCCAAUCCGGCUCGUCCUCCUCAGAAUCGUCGCCAGGAGCAUAUUCGCUCUCUUCAUCCUCCGGUUGAUACUCAAUCGGCCUUUUAGCUUUUGAGCGUUGUCGCUUACUUCCACGACCACCGCCAACCAUAAGAACCACAAGAACAAAUAGCCACGAGUACAUUUUCGAAGAAACCCCUGUCAAACACAAUGAUUUAUAUAUAUUGAACAUAAGAACAAUCGUUUUGUGAUUCCAAAAACUUUAACAAAUUGAUAUGUAAUAUGCUAGAUAAUCCUAGGGCCACAUAACCAAGAAAAUCAUGAACAAAUCAAGCAUCAAAAAUCAAUAAAAUCACAUUUUUCGAAAAAUUGGAAAAAUUAGGUUUUGAUGAAGAAAACAUAGCAAAACAAUCCAAACAACUGUAUCAAAGUAUGGAAUAAUGCAUGAAAAUGUUGACUAACAUGUCUAGAGGUAAAAUCAGGGCAACAAUGAAGAGAUUUAACAACAUAAUGAGAUCAAAUCCCCAAAAAAAUUGAAAAUAAAGCAUAAAUUCGGAUUAUAAGACAACAACGAAACAAAAUCCGAGAAUCAUACCAAAAUUAAGUGUAAAUUGAUGAAGAAUGGAAGCAAAAGCACCCUAGGGAUAUUAGAAGCUCUGGAGAGAAGUUUGAACGAAAUUGGUAAAGUAAAAAGACACAGACCGCAAAACCCUUAUAUCGGUUCGGGCGGAGGGACCGGUCUCUCCAAGUCUGGGACCGGUCCCAGAGCCAAAACCUGAAAAUCUAAUUUUCGUCCAGAAUUUUCAGAAAUUUUAUAUAAUAUUCCCAACAUAUCCAACAGCAAAAAUACACAAUAUCCAUCCCCAAAGACUUUUAAUAAAAUUUCAUAAAUAAAUUUUGAAAAAAACAAUCUCAAAGAUAUUCAAUUUGGCAAAUAUUGUUGAUCCGAAAAUCAAAUAAAAUUCUUGAUAAGUAUCAAAUAAAAUUCCACACAUCAUGCAAGAUCUAGGGAUAAAUUGUAUCAUUUUAUCAUCAUAUUUGUUAAGAAAUUGAAUAAAUAAAUCUCAUAAUCAUGAAAUUAAAAGAAUAUUCUCAACUUGAGUUAUGCACAUAAUUUGAGAUAAGAGUGGCUCUUUGAGCAUCUUUUAACAAACCACCUUAUAUCGCCUAGGAGAUGUAUUAAACAUAGUAUUAGAAUUUUACCAUCUCCACAACACCUCAUAUUGAUUCAUUCUUUAUUGACUUUUAGCUCAUAGAGAUAUAUUGAUCAUCAUGUGGUAGCUGCACACACUGACCGGACGACCGAGGUGGUAGCUCUUUCCUAUAUGUGGUGGUAGUUUUCACACUCCCAGCGGGGAUGUAACUCUUUCCACAUCUUCAAUUUCAUAAAUUUUCAUAGCUAAAAUCGGCAAGACUCCCCUUAAAUUAGUGCAACCCUCAAGUCAAAAAAUAUUAUCGCAAUUUCAAAAAUAGAGAAAGAUUUAUUCAUCUCAAAACUAAUAAUCAAAUAAACAAUUGCAAUAUUCAAAGUUCGAAGCCUGAGGUGCUGAAUUUGAUUCAAUAUGUUAAAUAAAAUUUCAAUGAUUUGAUCGUUCAAAAAUCUGCCAAUAAAGAAUAACUCUGACAGUGAUUAAUCAAAAAUUAAAUAUGAAAUACUUAAAUUCACAGAUCAACUAGCAACAGCAUACAAGAAAAUCAAUCAACCCUCAAAUACCGAAAAUCAUGCAAGAAAAAAAACAGAAUAUGCAACAUGCACAUGGUCUGUGGCUCAAUAGAAUAUAUCUAGAUUGAAGGAUUCAUACCAAUUGCCUUUCUUAAAUGCAGAAAACGCUUUUGAUCCAAAGGUUUGGUUAGAAUAUCGGCAAGUUGAUUUUCAGUUGAAAUAUAUUCAAGUUGUAAAACGUUUGAUUCUACCAGUUCUCUUAAAAAAUGAUAUCUUAGUUCAAUAUGUUUUGUUCGAGAAUGUAAAACAGGAUUUUUAGAAAUAUUAAUUGCACUCGUGUUGUCACACAGAAUAGUCAGAGUGGUAGAAGGAAUCCGAUAGUCGCUUAGUAAGCUUUUCAUCCAAAUUAAUUGAGUAGAGCAACUUCCAGCUGCAAUGUAUUCAGCUUCUGCAGUGGAAAGAGCAAUGCAAUUUUGCUUCUUACUGUGCCAAGCGACCAAACAAUGUCCGAUGUAAAAACAAGCCCCACUAGUACUUUUCCGAUCAUCUGCGGAGCCUGCCCAGUCAGCAUCCGAGUAGCCGAUUAGGUCAAGAGACGUUCCCAUAGGAUACCAUAGUCCAUACUCGGUUGUUCCUUUAACAUACCGAAUAAUCCUUUUAACUGCUUUCAGAUGUACUUCCUUAGGAUUAGCCUGAUAACGAGCACAUAUUCCAACACUAAACGCAAUGUCAGGUCUGCUCGCAGUCAGAUACAAAAGGCUACCAAUCAUGCUUCUGUAUUGUUUCUCAUCCACACUCUGACCUUCUGAAUUCAAUCCCAAUCCUUUGUUGCUUGUACCCAUCGGAGUGUCAAAAUCCUUUGCACUUUCUAAUCCGAAUUUCUUAACUAGUUCCUUCGCAUACUUUGUCUGUGACAAAUGAAUUCCAUCUUUUGAUUGUUUGACUUGAAGCCCGAGGAAAUAAUUAAGUUCUCCCAUCAUUGACAUCUCAAACUCACUGGUCAUUAACUUUGCAAAAUCAGCGGCAUCCUUAUCUUUAGUAGCCCCAAAAACUAUGUCAUCCACAUAUAUUUGUGCUACAAUGAAAUUAUCCUUCAGGUGUUUCACAAAAAGAGUUCUAUCUGCUCCCCCUCGGUUAUAGCCCUUUUCCAAAAGAUAUUUUGUCAAGCGUUCGUACCAUGCUCGCGGAGCUUGUUUUAGUCCAUAAAGUGCCUUUUUCAGUCGAAAAACGUGAUUUGGAAAUUUUGAGUCUAUAAAACCUUUCGGUUGUUCAACAUAAACUUCCUCUUUUAAAAAUCCAUUUAAAAACGCACUUUUGACAUCCAUUUGAAAGAGCGUGAUUUUAAAAUGACAAGCAAUCGCGAACAAGAUACGAAUAGAUUCAAGACGGGCAACCGGAGCAAAGGUUUCUUCAAAGUCUAUCCCCUCAAUUUGAGAGUACCCCUGAGCCACAAGUCUAGCUUUGUUCAGCACAAUAGUACCAUCUUCAUUUUUCUUAUUUUUAAAGAUCCAUUUGGUACCAAUAAUGUGUUGUUGCUCAGGACGAGGCACCAAUUCCCAUACAUCAUUGCGAACAAAUUGACCAAGUUCUUCUUGCAUGGCAUUUAUCCAAUAUUCAUCAACAAGAGCUUCGUCGACAUUCUUUGGCUCGAUCAAAGAAACAUAAUAUGCAAAUUCACAUUGUAACUGACUUCUUAUUCGCACAUCAACAUUAGGAUCCCGAAUCACAUUUGAUAAAGGAUGAUCUCUUGACUCUGUCAGGGGGGUAGUCUCUGUACUCGGGAUUUCAGCCGUGCUGUUUUGUGGCUCAGAUGAAUCAUUUGAUGCAAUAUUUUCAGAAGAUGCAAUGGAAUUAUCAGGUGUAGAAAUAUCAUCAUUCACAGGCAUUACAAACGGAGAAUCAUUAUCAUCGUCAUUCAUCAAAGAGUUAGAAGAACCAUUCACAGAAGAACUUACAGAAGAAGCUUCAUCUACUUUUAUAUUGAUAGACUCUAUCACCGUCUUAGAUCGUAAAUUGUACGCACGAUAAGCACGACUUGUAGUAGAAUCACUACAGGAAAUUAGUUAAAAGGCGGCACUUUUUUAGCGGCUUUUUGAAUUGGGCCGGCCCAAAAUAGUAACCCAAAUUAUAUAUUUCUACUCUAUUUAUCUGGGCCUAGCCCAUAAGUAAGGAGCUCCUUCUCUUUCUCUCUCUCUCUCUCUCAAGGCCCAAAUUACCCAUUUCUCUGUUUCUCUCUCUCCCUCUCUCCCUCUUCUACACAGACCCAAAGCCCCCUUGAGCUACCUCGACCUUUUUCCCUCGCAGAUCGAAUUCCCACAUCGUCUCCUCCAACCUCUUCCUCUUUAGGGUUUUCUCCUCAAUCAUUUUCUAGGGUUUUAGACUCAUCCGCUCCUCUCAACCUCACACGCGAUGGCCGGAUUGGGAAGGAUCGUUUGCCGAGGCGAUCCCCCUUGAGCUCGCACAUGAUCGUUGCUUGGGAGGACCUUUGCCGAGGUGAUUCCUCUUGAGCUCGCACGCAAUCCUCACUUGGGAGGACCUUCGUCGAGUCACACGAGAUCGCCGCUUGGGAGGACCUUCGCCGAGUAGCACGCGAUCGCCGCUUGGGAGGAAUCGUUCCUCCACCUUCAUCAUCCCUUCUUUCGCACUAUUUUUUUUGGGUAAGUUUUGAUCAUUUUUUAAUUUUUUUUCAUUUUUAAUUAUCAUUUGUGCAUAUAAUCUGUUUGUUUAUAUUAAUCUUUAUCUAGUUUUUUUUAUUUUUAAUUAGUUUUUUUUUAUUUUUAAUUAACUUCUGGUUCAACUAAUCAAAUCCACCAACAUUUGGAGAAUUGUGACUAUGACCGAUUAGUAUUUAGCUAGCUUGCAAAUCCACAUUUUUAAUCUAUAUUCUUCACCAUUAUUGGCUUGAUUAUUGCAGAUUAACAGCUAACUAGCAUUCCCAUCCCUGUCUUAGCCGAAAUAAACAUCUUGUCCAGCUUGAUUAUUGCGCUCCUCUAGAAGUUCCAUUUCAAUUUCAUUGAACAAAGAGAGGGCUCACAAGAUUUAAUAUAUCUAUGCAUAUAUAUAAAUAGUGGUUUAGGUUGGGUUUAAAGGAAAGAGAAUUAGUCAAAGUAUUAAUGGAGGCAAUAUAUUAUUAAUUAUUAUUAUUAUUAUUAUUAUUAUUAUUUAAUUGGGUCCCAUACAUUUUGUGAAUUAUUGUAUUGAGGUCCUUUGAUUGUCUCCUUGUAGGAUGCGAUACUGCAACUGCGCCUCAACCGUGCUCCGCUUCGCAGCCCCGAAAAUUAUAGGUCUUCGGUUAUGUGCCACGAUGCCUCAAAUCCAUUUCCAUGAUUUUACGACGUCGCCUCGACCCUCCCGGCGGACCCGAAGCCUAAACGUCCAUUUCUUUAAUAACUUUGUAACGGCUCGUCGGAUUGCCGAACCGUCUUCGCCAACGCGUUUCGGUAUCUAGCAAUUAGGUUUACGAAGGGUCAAAUGAGAUCAAACCCUCAUAUUUUGAAAGUUUGCAUUUUGGAGCCCUAGGUUACAACUAUGCAAGAAAUCACUAAAUUGAUCCAUGAUUCAAGCAUUAAUCAUCUAGAUAGCAUGCUAGGACUCCUCUAAAUCCAUUUAUAAGGUGUUUAAACCAAGCAUUAAAGAUCUACCAUUAAUGGGCUCAAGAAGCUCACCUCAAAAUGAGCUCCAAACCAUGGAGAAGAUGAAGAAGACGAAGGCGAUCCACCUCCAAGCUUCAAUCUCCACCAAAUCUAUUCUUUUUGGGAGAGAUUUAGAGAGAGAAAGAGAGGGUUUUCUCUUCUCCUUCCAUGCAUGUGUGGGUGUGUGCGUGUGGUGUGUGCGGUUGGGGCAGCCACGGUUGGGAGGAGAAGAAGAAAAGGAGUUUUAAACCCUUUUUACCAUUUUGCCCCUCAACUACGCACUAUUCACUUCAGGCAGUUUACUUUUCGCCGGAGCCCUUCUGAACGUCCGUUUGAACUCAAAUUUGACAGGCAUGCUCGGUUUUACUUAAUAAGUCCAAAUAAAUUUUAAUAUUUCAGUUUCGACCCCGUUUGGUCACUGAAAACUGUGCCGAACUGCAAUCUUUAUCAGAUAGCUUUCGGAUCCUAUUUCUCUCUCUACGGGUGUCAGAAAAAUAUGAAACUUUAAAUCUAGCCUCAUAAAAAUAUUUCUGACAUUCUCGCAAAUUUUCAUAAUUUUCUGAGACUGUACAUUUUUUGCUAAUUUAUCAGUCCCGUUUCCAACAGAAAAUUCUAAAUCUUCUGUUUGCAGUCCAAUUUCAGCACAAGUCAUUUCUGACUUAUGUUUUACUCCUCUAAAUCUAAUAAAAAUAGUAUCUCACACUACUUUUAUUUAUUUUUAUUUUUAUAUUUAAAAUCCGGUAUGUUACAUUCCACCGCAACUUCACCGGAACCAUUUAAAUGUAUACCGUGACUUCAUGAUUUUAGAAGUUCGGUAUGUUACAGAAAGAGCAAUACAAUUUUGCUUCUUACUGUGCCAAGCAACCAAACAAUGUCCAAUGUAAAAGCAAGCUCCACUAGUACUUUUCCGAUCAUCUGCGGACCCUGCCCAAUCAGCAUCCGAGUAGCCGAUUAGGUCAAGAGAUGUUCCCAUUGGAUACCAGAGGCCAUACUCGGUUGUUCCUUUAACAUACCGAAUGAUUCUUUUCACUGCUUUUAGAUGUACUUCCUUAGGGUUAGCCUGAUAACGAGCACAAAUUCCAACACUAAACGCAAUAUCUGGUCUGCUUGCAGUCAAGCACAAUAGGCUACCAAUCAUGCUCCUGUAUUGUUUCUCAUCCACACUCUGACCUUCUGAAUUCAAUCCCAGUCCUUUGUUGCUUGUACCCAUUGGAGUAUCAAAAUUCUUUGCAUUUUCUAAUCCAAAUUUCUUAACUAAUUCCUUCGCAUACUUUGUCUGUGACAAAUGAAUUCCAUCUUUUGAUUGUCUGACUUGAAGCCCGAGGAAAUAAUUAAGCUCCCCCAUCAUUGACAUCUCAAACUCACUGGUCAUUAACUUUGCAAAAUCAGCGGCAUCCUUAUCUUUAGUAGCCCCAAAAACUAUGUCAUCCACAUAUAUUUGUGCUACAAUGAAAUUAUCCUUUAGGUGUUUCACAAAAAGAGUUCUAUCUGCUCCCCCUCGGUUAUAGCCCUUUUCCAAAAAAUAUUUUGUCAAGCGUUCGUACCAUACUCGCGGAGCUUGUUUUAGUCCAUAAAGUGCCUUUUUCAGUCGAAAAACGUGAUUUGGAAAUUUUGAGUCUAUAAAACCUUUCGGUUGUUCAACAUAAACUUCCUCUUUUAAAAAUCCAUUUAAAAACGCACUUUUGACAUCCAUUUGAAAGAGCGUGAUUUUAAAAUGGCAAGCAAUCGCGAACAAGAUACGAAUAGAUUCAAGACGGGCAACCGGAGCAAAGGUUUCUUCAAAGUCUAUCCCCUCAAUUUGAGAGUACCCCUGAGCCACAAGUCUAGCUUUGUUCCGCACAAUAGUACCAUCUUCAUUUUUCUUAUUCUUAAAGAUCCAUUUGGUACCAAUAAUGUGUUGUUGCUCAGGACGAGGCACCAAUUCCCAUACAUCAUUGCGAACAAAUUGACCAAGUUCUUCUUGCAUGGCAUUUAUCCAAUAUUCAUCAACAAGAGCUUCGUCGACAUUCUUUGGCUCGAUCAAAGAAACAUAAUAUGCAAAUUCACAUUGUAACUGACUUCUUAUUCGCACAUCAACAUUAGGAUCCCGAAUCACAUUUGAUAAAGGAUGAUCUCUUGACUCUGUCAGGGGGGUAGUCUCUGUACUCGGGAUUUCAGCCGUGCUGUUUUGUGGCUCAGAUGAAUCAUUUGAUGCAAUAUUUUCAGAAGAUGCAAUGGAAUUAUCAGGUGUAGAAAUAUCAUCAUUCACAGGCAUUACAAACGGAGAAUCAUUAUCAUCGUCAUUCAUCAAAGAGUUAGAAGAACCAUUCACAGAAGAACUUACAGAAGAAGCUUCAUCUACUUUUAUAUUGAUAGACUCUAUCACCGUCUUAGAUCGUAAAUUGUACGCACGAUAAGCACGACUUGUAGUAGAAUCACUACAGGAAAUUAGUUAAAAGGCGGCACUUUUUUAGCGGCUUUUUGAAUUGGGCCGGCCCAAAAUAGUAACCCAAAUUAUAUAUUUCUACUCUAUUUAUCUGGGCCUAGCCCAUAAGUAAGGAGCUCCUUCUCUUUCUCUCUCUCUCUCUCUCAAGGCCCAAAUUACCCAUUUCUCUGUUUCUCUCUCUCCCUCUCUCCCUCUUCUACACAGACCCAAAGCCCCCUUGAGCUACCUCGACCUUUUUCCCUCGCAGAUCGAAUUCCCACAUCGUCUCCUCCAACCUCUUCCUCUUUAGGGUUUUCUCCUCAAUCAUUUUCUAGGGUUUUAGACUCAUCCGCUCCUCUCAACCUCACACGCGAUGGCCGGAUUGGGAAGGAUCGUUUGCCGAGGCGAUCCCCCUUGAGCUCGCACAUGAUCGUUGCUUGGGAGGACCUUUGCCGAGGUGAUUCCUCUUGAGCUCGCACGCAAUCCUCACUUGGGAGGACCUUCGUCGAGUCACACGAGAUCGCCGCUUGGGAGGACCUUCGCCGAGUAGCACGCGAUCGCCGCUUGGGAGGAAUCGUUCCUCCACCUUCAUCAUCCCUUCUUUCGCACUAUUUUUUUUGGGUAAGUUUUGAUCAUUUUUUGAUUUUUUUUCAUUUUUAAUUAUCAUUUGUGCAUAUAAUCUGUUUGUUUAUAUUAAUCUUUAUCUAGUUUUUUUUAUUUUUAAUUAGUUUUUUUUUAUUUUUAAUUAACUUCUGGUUCAACUAAUCAAAUCCACCAACAUUUGGAGAAUUGUGACUAUGACCGAUUAGUAUUUAGCUAGCUUGCAAAUCCACAUUUUUAAUCUAUAUUCUUCACCAUUAUUGGCUUGAUUAUUGCAGAUUAACAGCUAACUAGCAUUCCCAUCCCUGUCUUAGCCGAAAUAAACAUCUUGUCCAGCUUGAUUAUUGCGCUCCUCUAGAAGUUCCAUUUCAAUUUCAUUGAACAAAGAGAGGGCUCACAAGAUUUAAUAUAUCUAUGCAUAUAUAUAAAUAGUGGUUUAGGUUGGGUUUAAAGGAAAGAGAAUUAGUCAAAGUAUUAAUGGAGGCAAUAUAUUAUUAAUUAUUAUUAUUAUUAUUAUUAUUAUUAUUUAAUUGGGUCCCAUACAUUUUGUGAAUUAUUGUAUUGAGGUCCUUUGAUUGUCUCCUUGUAGGAUGCUUGUAGGAUGGCAUAUGGCUGCCAUUCGCACAUGUUAGGGAAAAAAGGGAAAAGAAAUUACAAUAGAGGACAACAUAUAUAAAAGUUUAUGCUCCACACAUGCAUGGAAAUAGCACAUUGCCUACCACUCAUAUAUAUUACUAGUUUAUUACCACAUCCAGUUCUUAAAUAUUUUAUCCAAAAAAAUUAAAAGCUUCACUAAUUAAGUAACUCAAAAUUUUCCAAGUGCGGCAUUGGCAAUAAGUUUUCCUCCUAGUGUUGUUGUGUUCACGUGGUCAUAACAAGAGGUUUUAAUGAGGUGUUGGGAUAUUCAUUUUAUUUUUGUUGUAUUUUUUCAAAUGUGCCAAGAGAAUAUAUUAUGUAAUUAUUGGGAUAGGCAAAUGGCGCAGAGAUUUUAUACUAAAAAUUUGUAUACUUGUGUACACAAUAUUAUUGUAUUGGGUUUAUGCAUGUGCCAUGAAAUAUAUUAUUGGAUAUGUUUUAGGUUCUAUAAAGUGCAUUUUAUUCUUGUAAUGAUUAGCAUCAAUUUGUGCUUUCACUGGUUGUGUUUGUGCUUUCAUUGGUUGUAUUUUGGAUAACUUGAAUACUAUAGUUUUUUUGAGUUAAAUUGUGCAUGCCUUUUCUUUGCUCGUAAAAUAUCCAAUGCAACUAAAUGUUUGGUUUAAGUAAAAAUUUGACACAAGUAUCUCGCUUAACUUCUUAUAAUAUUUUUAGUGUAAGGCAAUUGGCUUCAAACUACAAACCAUUUAUGCUUGAAAUAGUCAGUAGUAUUCUACGUAGUUACAGUAUGAUUCUUGACCAAAAAAUAUAAAAAAGAGUAAUCCUAUCUGUAGUAAGGUAUGUUUGAAGCUAGCAUUCCAGUAUUAGUAAGUUGUUUUGUACUGACCCCUUAUUGUGUAUUUGUUUUUCGUCUGUUGAAAAAUUAGAUGGACAAAAGUUGGAUACGCAAGUCAAGGUUGAGUAAAGAAUACUUUGAUGGGGUUAAUGAUUUCCUUAAUUUUGCAUUUGAGAGGUCAUCUCAAGAUGGAAAAAUAUUAUGCCCAUGCUCACGUUGUUCCAAUAUUAAUUGGCACACUCGUGAGGUAGUUAAGGAACACUUGGUAUGCAAUGGGUUUCUCCGAGGGUACACUCGUUGGGCUUGUCAUGGAGAAUCCAUCUCCUCCUCUUCCUCCAGUAGCAAUACAACGUACUAUCUACAAGAUCCUUUACGACUACUAGAGUCAACUCCUGAUCAAAUGGGCUCAAGUAGAAAUGAUGAUAUGGAAGGAUUAUUGCGAGAUGCCUUGAGAAUGCAUUUUCAAGAUUCAGAUAAUUCAUCGUCACGAGAAGAUAUUCCAAAUGCGCAAAAUAUUCGAGUAGAGAGUCAUGAGCAUUGUGAUAUAGGUCUUGAUAGGCAAGAACCUACCGAUGAGCCUAACAUAGGAGCAUCAAACUUUUAUAAGUUGCUUGAAGAUGCAAAACAAGAGUUAUAUCCAGGAUGUACAAAGUUUUCAAAGCUUUCUUUUAUAGUGCAUCUUUUUCAUUUAAAAUGCUUAAAUGGGUGGAGCAGUAAAUCAUUUACAAUGCUUUUGGAAUUGCUUAAUGAUGCUUUUCCUAAUGGUACAUCGCUUCCUAAGUCUACAUAUGACGCGAAGAAAUUUAUAAAGGAUUUAGGUCUUGGCUAUGAGAAGAUCAAUUCAUGUCCAAACGAUUGUAUAUUGUAUUGGGGUGGUAGGUCGAAUGAACAAUCUUGUGAUGUAUGUGGUGCUUCUCGUUGGUUACCAACUACUACUGAAAAUAUAAAUAAUGAUGAUUUGGGUAAUGAAGAAAGAAAAGGAAGGCCUGCAAAAGUCUUGCGUUAUUUUCCUCUAAUACCAAGACUUCAGAGAUUAUUCAUGUCUCCAAAAACUUCAGAUAAUAUGAGAUGGCAUGACGAAGGACGUACAAAGGAUGGACUAUUAAGGCAUCCAGCUGAUUCUUUAGCAUGGAGAUCAUUUGAUUCUCGAUAUAAGGAUUUCUCUUCUGAUCCUCGAAAUGUCAGAUUAGGACUUGCCACUGAUGGCUUCAAUCUUUUUAGAGCUAUGAAUACUUCUUAUAGCAUGUGGCCGGUUAUUUUAAUUCCAUAUAAUCUGCCGCCAUGGAUUUGCAUGAAACAAUCUUCAUUUAUCUUAUCAAUGAUUAUUCCUGGUACAAAGGGCCCAGGAAAUAAUAUUGAUGUCUACUUGCAGCCACUUAUAGAGGAAUUGAAGCAAUUGUGGGAAGGCGUGGAUACCUAUGAUGCAUCAAGAAAACAUAAUUUUCGCAUGCGCGCUGCUUUGCUAUGGACUAUUAGUGACUUUCCAGCUUACGCAAAUUUAUCUGGUUGGAGCACAAAAGGUCGCUAUGCUUGUCCAUGUUGUGCUGAUAAAACUUGUUCCAGAUGGUUAUAUAACGGAAAGAAGUUUUGCUAUAUGGGGCAUCGUCGGUGGUUAAGUGAAACUCACAAAUUCCGCUAUCAAAAACACCUAUUUGAUGGUACUGAAGAGUUUAGAUCUACACCUACCCCUAUAUCUGGAACAGAUGUGUUGAAGCAAGUAGAAGGCAUCAACUUUAGAUAUGGAAAGGUGCCUAAUUCUAGUAGAAAUAAAGCUUCCACCAGUAUGCAGUCAAAAAAACGGGUGAGAGAACAAAUAGACAAUUCUCAAGAUCUUGACAAUCAAUCAUAUAAUUUAGAGGCAAUUGGGAUAGAUAGUGAUGGAGAUGAAGAUGAAGAUAAUUUCAACAACACUAGCUUGUGGAAAAAGAAGAGCAUUUUCUUUAUGUUGCCUUAUUGGAAGUACAAUUUACUCCGGCAUAAUCUUGACGUGAUGCACAUAGAAAAAAAUGUUGGCGAAAAUGUGUUUGGAACGGUAUUAAACGAAGAUGGUAAGUCAAAAGAUAAUAUGAAGGCACGUCUUGAUUUAGUGGAUAUGGAUAUAAGACAUGAACUUCAUCCUCAAUCGCUCCCUAAUGGUAGGACAUAUUUGCCUUCUGCUUGCUAUUUGCUAUCUAGAGAAGAAAAGGAGGUAUUUUGCAAAGUUUUAAAAGACAUCAAGGUUCCAGAUGGUUUUGCUUCGAAUAUCUCAAGGUGUGUUAAUCUAAAGGAGUGUAGAUUGUUAUCUCUUAAGUCUCAUGAUUAUCAUAUUUUGAUGCAAGAUCUCUUGCCACUUGCUUUGCGAGCGUCUAUGACAACAGAAGUCGCCUCAACUUUAAUUGAGCUGAGUAACAUUUUUAAGGCCAUUUGUUCCAAAGUUCUUAAUGUUGAAGAUCUUGAGCAACUCCAACAUCGUGCUGCAAUUACUCUUUGCCAUUUGGAGAAGAUUUUUCCUCCUUCUUUUUUCACUAUCAUGGUGCAUUUAGUUAUCCACCUUCCCGAGGAGGCCAAACUAGGUGGACCAGUCCACUAUAGGUGGAUGUACCCAAUAGAGAGGUUUUUAACUCUAAAUUAUCAUUUUUCUAAAUAAUUUCAGUUUUAUAUUUAGGUAAUUAAUUCGUAUUGAUCCAAUUUUAUGCUUUUUUAACUUAUAGGAAUCUAUUUAGAUUGAAAUCAAAUGUUCGUAACAAAGCUCAUCCUGAAGGCUCAAUCGCCGAAGGAUAUUUGGUGGAGGAGUGUCUGAUAUUUUGUUCAAGAUAUCUUGAAGGAGUUGAGACGAGAUUUAAUAGACCUGUUAGAAAUUAUGACACUGUACGUGAUGAGCAUUCUACACCAUAUUUAUUUUUAACCGCUGGCCAACCAAUAGGUGAGGUUGAUGUCAUAACGUUGGAUGAAAUGGCAUGGGUACAAGCGCAUCGAUACGUGCUAUUCCACCAUAACAUUGUUGAACCAUUCCGAAAGUAAGCAUGUAUUAAUAAUACUUCCUUAUUUUAGAAUUUUUUGCUAGUUAUUUAUUAGCUGCAUUUUUAAUUCUAUACAGUGAAUAUAUAAGAAUAUUGAGAGCAAGAUCUCGUCCAAAACGACUACAAACUCAUGAAAUUGAUAGGCUACUAAAUGAACAGUUUCAUGAGUGGUUUGGCGAUCAUGUAAGUAUUACUAUAACUUUAAAUUUAAAUAUUUUCAACUUUAAAUGCGUACUAAUUUGAUUUUUUAUUAUUAGGUUGCAAGUCAAUUGGAUGUUGCCGACGAAGUUAAAUGGCUAGCUCGGGGACCAAAUAAAAUUGCUAAAAGAUAUAAGGGUUUCAUUAUCAAUGGCUUUAGAUUUCAUACCAAAGAUCGUGAGAGAAAUAGACGUACCCAAAAUAGUGGCAUUGUCGUCACUUCUUCAAUUAAAAGUUACGCAAGUGCUAGGGAUACGAACCCUUCGGAAGGAAAUGUUGACUACUAUGGCAUAUUAACCGAUAUAGUUGAAUUAGAUUAUUAUGGUAAGUUUAGAGUCGUAUUAUUCCGAUGCGAUUGGGCUGAUGUCACUAGUAGUAGGGGUACUAGAAAAGAUCAAUUUGGAUUUACAAUGGUUAAUUUCUCACGAUUGAUACAUACUGGAGAGCAAUUGAGACAUGAACCAUUUGUUUUCUCCUCUCAAGUAAAACAAGUAUUUUACUCUCAAGAUCUUAAAAAUGUGGAUUGGUAUGUUGUCCUUUACAAAGCACCUAGGGACUUAUUUGAUAUGGGUGAGAAGUCGAAUGAUGAAGAUUUUGUGGUGCACAAUGAGUGUAUGCCUUUUACUAGCCAACACUUAGAUGAGAACUUCUCGGAUGAUCAUAGUAUUCAGAAUUGGGUAAGAUUGGAUGUUGCUGGAGACAUUCACUCAAACUAAGAGGUACUGCAUUUAUUAUUAUUUAUUGUCUAAUAGUUUAGUUGUCACUAUUUAUACUAAUGAUAUUGUGUUCCAACAUUCUUUUUAUUUUUUAAGGCCAAAAUUUAUAUUUUUAUAUUCUUGAAGUAGUUUAAAUUUGUCUUUAGAAUGAACUUUGGAUGCUGUUGUAGCUAAAAUUACUUAUAUUCUUUUCAGGGUGUAAAAUGACGAGAUCCAGAAAAUUGAAGGGUGUUACAAUUAUUGAGUUGACCUCACAAACAAAUGGACAAGGUGGCGGUCAAGAUGGUGUAUCAAAUAUUGAAGAAGAUGGGGAAGCAAGUUUGGCAGGAGAGAAUUUUCAAAUUGGUAAUAAUGUUCUAAAUUCAUUUCCUUUUGUUUUGCAUCUUAGUGCCCUGUUGAAGCUGAUUCUCUAUUUGUUUCUUUUAGUUUUCUAUAUGUAAGCCAUAGCUAAAAGUUGAUUGCUUCUAUUCAAUUUAGUUAGCUAUACUCUUCAUAUGUAGGCCAGGGUUGUUUUUCAUCAAUCUUAUCCCUUAAUAGUAUUUUAUAAAAGAACUAGGCAUGGGUUUUAUUAAGGUAAUUUAACUUGCUCUAUUAACUUUAUUAUGAUGUAUACAUUUCCUAUCUUGAGGAUUGUUUCUCUUCUUUUUUACUUUUAUAGUCAUUUCACACAAGCAAACUCAGAAUUAAUGAAAACCUAUCACUACUUUUACACCCAUUUGCAUGUAUUUUUUGUGUAGACAAAUGAUAAUUUGAAUGAGAUUAUAUAGAAUAUGUAUAGUUUCGUGGAACAGUUAAACAAUUGUGGUAUGGGGGUUACAUGGACACUGCAAUUAUAUGCAACAACAGUGAACUUUCAAAUAAGCAUGAACAUAUAGAUCCAAUGAAUGUAUACUGAAAUUCGACGUCUACAAAACAUUUUAGAUACAGUUGUAAGAAACUUAUUUCUAACUUACUAUAGUGCACAUCCACCCAGUACAUUGGAUGUAAGUUCUUUUUGUCUACUAGAUGUGUCUAAUUGGAUAUCAAUGUAAAGUAAUUUUGCUCUUCCUUCUGAGCACUAUAGAUUUUCCUUGUGCCUUCUUUUUUGUAGUUCAUGAUGAUGGAAAGAAAGAAAGAAAGAGAGGUCGUACAACAUUAAAGGAGAUAUGGGAAAUGGAUGAGAGUUGGCGUAUUCAAGUUCGAUUUAACAAAAGAGGGCAACCAUUAAAUAAGGAGGCAAGGUUGCUAGCUGGAUUUUGUGGAAUAGUUGCACGGAAUGGUCAAUUCUGCCCUUUGAACUAUAUUAAUUGGAGACGAAUGCCAACUGCACUAAAGAAUGAAGCUUUAUCUUUUGUCUUGGUAUUUGAUAUAUUUUACACUAUUUACAUGUAUUUAUAUAACCAUCUUAUUACGUAUUUAUCUUCUAAUUUUGUGUAUAUUGUUUUUGAAGUCAAAAUUUCAUCUUCAAUCAAAGAAAGGACGAGCCUUUGUCAUGAAAUCUUUAAACAAAAAAUGGAAAGACUAUAAAGCUGAAUUGAAGGCCAAGUAUUUUGACCGAACAAAACCAAAAGAAGAGAUUAGUAAGAAUGUGCCACCUGGUGUAAUAAAGCAGCAGUGGUUGAGCUUGGUUGAAUUUUUAUACUCCGAUGUUGCCAAGGUAUGAUUUAUUCUUAGUAGAUUUAUUAUUCACAUUAGUUUGAUUUUUAAUUGUAACUUGUUACUUGAAUGCCUUUUAGUUCUGUUUGUGUACACUCCGUUUCUUGUUGUUAGUGAGAAUGAAAAGAGGUAUAUAUGUGCUUCUUACAGUUUAUGCACUUACCAUAAGCUGUAGAAAACUAUUUUGCAUAGUAAUACUUUUACAUUUGUACUACUUGGUGUAUUUUGCACAAGACGCGAACUAUAAUCAUAUAAACUUGACAUGUUACAGGAAAGUCUCGAUGAGUUCCAUUUUACUCCGACAUAUAUCCUUUUCACAAUUGCGGCAUUAUUUUGCUUCUCUCUUGUGUUUGCUUUUUUCGCAUGUUUGUUUCUUAAGGUGUCUGCAAUAUCUUUUCGGAGAAAUAUCGUAUCUUGAAGUGCUACAAUAACUUUGCCCUACCUGUUCUAAUAAUUCACCCUUCUAUGCAUCCAAGUUCGGUUUGUUAACAUGUACAUGAUUCUUGACCCUUGAAGUAUAUAGAGCGAGUACUUUGGCUCAACCAGCAGAGACUUCCUUGUUUAUCUAAUUUAUUUGAGAACAGAUUUAGGGACUAAAGGAGAAAGCAAAGGCUCACUGCACCACUUAGCAUUUUAUAACAGUAACAGAGACCUUCAGAAUGUCUUUGUCUUCAUAUAGAUUUAUUUGAAUCGAAGUUCAAGAAUCUUCAGAGUUGUCUUUUUGUACUUUUUAUGUUCUUUUCCUUUCUGGUUGUCUAGGUGAAUGUCGAAAAGUAAGGUUGAGCAUCAUCUCUAAAUUAUUCUGGGUUUCCGGUUCUCGAGGGACCCAUUAGCUUGUGAUUCCAUUGGCUGAGUUAUCAUUUAGAACAAUUGUUUGGCGGAAAAUUCGUUUUUCAUUUUUAAGGUCAUGGAUGUUAUAUUCUCGGGAAUGUCUGCUUAACCUUACUUCUUAAAAUGAUGAAAUGUUAACUAUUGCAGAUGCAUUAUAAGGUAUAUGGAUAUGCUUAUAAUAUGUAGUCUUCUAUGCUGCUUAUUUUCAUGUGUCGUAACUUAGGUAUUUUAAUGCAUGUAUUUGUUACUAAUGAUUCAUUUUGCCAAGUUAUAAUUUGUAUUGCACUAUCGAUGUAUGUUAUCUGAGCUGAUUUUUUUUAUUAUCUUUUAAAUGUAGAAACGAGAGAAAUUAGCGAAAGAAAGUCGAGCCAAACAGAAGUACACACAUACGUCGGGAUCUAAAAGCUUUGCACGAAAAGAGAAAGAAAUUGUAACUAUCUAUUUUAUUAAUUGUCAUAAAUUUUAUGUUAUUUCAACAUUCUGAUAUUUGUUUGCAUUAUGGUAUUCGCAGGAGGACACAACCGGUAGGGUACCUGGACUUGUUGAGAUGUUCGAACUUACUCACACGAAGAAAAAUGGAUCAUUUAUAAGUGACGAUGCAAAAAAAUUAAUGGUAAUGUUAAUUUUAUAUUUGUUAACUUGCAACUCCAUAUUUACUAUCUGUUUAUACUCUAGCUACAUAGCAUGUCUAACUUGCAAUUCUAUAUUUGUUAAGGAUUAUAGGUAGCCUAAAUAACUUACAAAUGGAUUAAAUUGUAAUGAUCUACAUGACAAUCAUUUGUGCAAUUCCAUUUCAAAUAACAAUGUCUCACAAAGUGUUCAUUAUGUUGUGACAAUGAUAGGAGUUGGUUUUUAUUGCUUCACAAACUAUUCUUUUUUAUCUUUUUGGGCUUCAUGACCAAUUAUAAUCUGACAUGAUAUAUAAUAACUCUUUAAUUAUAAUAUAAUAAAAGAGCAAUGUUGUGGAACUCUAUAUCUCUCUAUUAAUUUAACUGCUACUGCAGCUUUUUGAGCAAGGAUUGUUGUCUUUAAUUUGAGAGCACAACCUAGAUUGUGUCAAUGCUAAAUAUCUAGGUCACUGUUACUUUUCAUAUUAUCAAUGGUGAAAAAGGUGAAACAAGUGCAAUCAAGUUUGUCGUGUGUGAUAAGUUCAUUAUGCAAUUCUCUGUCGGGCGAAAAGGCUAAUUUGGUUUCUCCAUUCCGAGUUUUAAGUCGGAUCGGAUUCUUCAUAGACAAAUAUAGCAGAUCCAUUCAUUUGUUCUAAAUACAGGAGACUAAUUAAAUGAUAGCAUUUUAAUGCAUUUUAAUAGGUACAAUCCAAAUGCUUAAGUGUACAGUUCCUGAUUUUUUUCUUUUUUGUUCUAUAUUGUACAGGUUGAUGCUAAAAACAAAUUGACUAAUUGCUCGGGAACAUCUGAAUCUUCUCGAGAGGAUGUGAUUGCAAUGGAAAACAAAAUUUAUAUCGAAGUCAUAAGAAAAGAGUAUGGCGGCCGAGUAGGAGGGUUAGGAUUGAUCCCAUCCGAAAGUUGUGUGUGUUAUAACUCGGAAUCAACGGAGGAAGUGCAAAAGUUAAGAGAGGAGGUGCAAGAGAAUAAAAAAAUGGUGUCUCAAUUGCAGUCCCAAUUAGCUGCUGUUAUGGAAUUUAUAAAACAAAAAAUACCUGAUUGUAACCUUGGUGGCAGUCGUCAGGUAGAAAAAUGGCUUUAUCUAGAUAAUCUUAUUGAUAUUAUACUUAUGUUUUAAUUGUUAACUAUAUUCUUAUUUUAUUGAAAGAAAUUUUUAUUUUUUUUACAGGAUCCAGAGUCUUCAGGCACUUGCUAUACGUCAGCAUCAUCAAAUCCUUCUCGUGAUACUUGAUCAUUUCUUUUGUAUUUGAACCUACUAUGUUCUUUAGCAUCAUUUUAUGUUUUGAGCUACUAUGUCAUUUCUAAAAAACUAUUUUUGGAUAUUAUAGUUUUUUAUCAUUUUAUUGAUGUUGAGGAUGUGAGGAACAAUUAGUAUUUUGGUUUCAUUCGAUACUCUUGGCUUAUAUAUGAAUGAAACAACUUUUUUUGCUAUGAAUGUGUCAUUUUUGUAUUAUAUCUUCCAUACAACUAUUAUCCCUAGCUAAUAUACAUAUUAAAAAGUCUCUAUAUUUCAAUCAAUUGUAGUUUUAUAAAAAGUCAUUGUAUAUGCAUAUUAACAGCUUCCAAAAAGCCACAACAUAAUUUUAUUAACAGCAUUAAAAAGCCGCAAAAAUUAUAACAUUGUGGCACACCAAAUGCCGCUAUACUAAUUAAAGGCGGCUUUUUAAUUGCCAUAGCUCUUAAAAACGGUAGAAAUUGUAGUAUUGUGGCAAAAAGCUACUAUAGAUAAUCAAAGACGGCUAAAUAGUGCCACAAUUUGAAUGCCUAUAGUGGCUUUCAAAAAGCCGCUAUAGGUACUAAAAUGCGGCUUUUACAAGAUGCCGUUAUAUUGUCAUAGACCUAUACCGACUCAGUUUUCACCAGCUUUUUUUGUGGCUUUUUCAGAAAAGCCGGUACUUUUUGUUGAGGCUUUUCAAAAAGCCGCUAUAGGUACCGAUAAAAGCCACCUUUAAUACAAAAUGUUGUAGUGAAUAACCAAGAAAUAUACCUUCGUCACUGCGAGAGUCAAAUUUUUCAAGAUUUUCACGAUCCCGAAGGAUAAAACAUUUACUCCCGAAGACACGAAAGUAUUUAAUGUUAGGUUUUCUACCAAUCCAAAGUUCAUAAGGCGUAUUCAAAGUGCCCGGACGUACAUAAAUCCGAUUGAUAACAUAGACAGCUGUGUUAACUGCUUCGGCCCAAAAAUGUAAAGCAAUUUUCUUACUAUGAAGCAUAACACGAGCCAUCUCCUGUACAACCCGAUUCUUACGUUCAACCACUCUGUUUUGUUGGGGUGUAUAAGAGGCCGAGAAUUCAUGUUUUAUACCAUUUGAAACACAGAAAUCAACAAAUUUAGAAUUUAUGAACUCUCCCCCUUGAUCGCUUCGAAUGCGUACAAUUUUAUCAUUUCGUUCAGUCAUAAGACGAAGACAGAUUUCAGAAAAAGAAUUAAAAGUAUCAGCUUUUUCUCGUAAGAAGGCACUCCAUACAAAGCGAGUAAAAUCAUCAACAAUAAGCAAGAUAUAACGUUUUCCACCCAAACUUUGAAUCCUAGAUGGUCCCAUCAAGUCCAUGUGCAGUAACUCUAAGGGCUUAGUUGUCCCUAAGUGAUUCAAGUUCUUAUGUGUGGAUCUAGUCUGUUUCCCCAAUUGACAACCCCCACACACAGUGUUUUCUUUAAAAUCAAUCUUAGGUACACCUCUAACUACCUCCUUCUUGGUUAUCUUUGACAGCUCCUUAAAGUUUAUGUGACCUAGUCGUUCAUGCCAUAAAGUUUCAGUUUCUAAUGAAGCUAGGUUACAAUGUUCAGUGGACGAACUAGGAACCACAUAACAAUUAUUCUGAGAUCUAAUGCCCUUUAAAAACAGAUUAUCAUCACGAAUCACAUGGCAUUCUUUAUCAGAAAAAUUCACAGAAUACCCAUCAUCACACAGUUGGCUUAUGCUUACGAGAUUAGAUUUGAGCCCCUCAACAUAAAAAACAUCGUUCAACGUAGGGCCAUCUGAGAUAGUCACUGUUCCUUUUCCAACAAUUUUUGACGAUCGACCGUCCCCAAAAACAACAAGUCCUCCGGAGAUUUUGGUCAAAGAAGUAAACCAAUUUUUAUCUCCGGUCAUGUGACGGGAACAACCACUAUCCAGAUACCAUGAUGAGUUAUCGUAAGCAUGAAGCGAAGUGUGAAUAACUAGGCAUGGGAAGAGUUCACCUUUGCGCACCCAAACCUUACGUGUUUUGGGCUGUGUCAGUUCGCUUGCUUUUGUUGAUCGUGGCUUGUCGACGAUUUGAAUUGACUUCUUCUUCAUAUCCUCCUUCUUUGGUUUCCACGCCUGUUUUGCCUUUGAUUCCGGAGCAUUUGGUGUCCAUGUUCGUUUCUUCUUAUAAUCAACCUUCUUUGGAGUCCAAGUUGACUUCCCUCUUGAUUUAAGAUCAUUCUUCAUAAGUGAUGUUCUUUGAUUCAAGGGUGUUGAUGAGCUCUUUCCCUUUUGUUUGCAGAACUUCUUUAUGUGUCCUAAAGCACCACAAAUAUGACAAGCUUUGUUAGUCAGAUUAUUUUGAGGAGGGACGAACUUACCAUAGAGCUUAGGAACAGCAGUUGAUGAAUGUCCGCCAUCUUUCUUUGUUGCUUGGUCAACAUAGGUCCGUUCGUACCCAAGUCCAAGUUUGUUUGUUUGACCAAGUCCAAGCAUCUUGUCGAGUUUACUUGAUCCAGACGAAAAUUGGUUCAAAUCUGACUUUAGUUGAAUAAUCGUCUUGGUGAAUUCCAUAUUUGCUUCUCUAGCUUCUGAGUAUUGCUUGGUGAGAAAAGUGAUAUUCUCCACUUGUGUCUCUUUUUCCUUUUCAAGUAAUGAGCACUUCUCGAUCAAGGAAUUAUGGGCCUUCGUCAAGCCAUCUCUCUCUUGUUCUAAAUCCUUUGUUAGAGAGACCAAUUUUGAAUUUUCUUGUUCCAACUCAUGUAGGCUUCGCCGCAGUCUCUUGUUAUGUUUAGCCAUCUUCUUUGAUUCAACAACCAAUUGUUGAUAUGCUGCGACCAUGUCAUCUUCGUCCGAUUCUUCAUCUGAUGAGUUCUCCGAAGAUGACUUCUCUUGUAUAGAUGUCAUAGAGAUCGAGUCAGCAGAUGCUAAACACAUGAAAGUUGAAUCCUGUGCAAUUAGUGCCGUGGCAUUUACAUCCUCUUCACUCGAAGUGGAAUCGUCAGAUGAGGAGUCGUCCCAAGUGAUAGCUUGCAUCGCUUUCUUCUUCAACGACUUUUUAUUAGGACAGUCAGAUGCGAUAUGGCCAAAGCCUCUACACUUGUAGCAUUGAAUUUGACCUUCACCGCUUUUCUUCUCUUUUGUGGAGUCCUUUUGAGAGUUAUCAGAUUUUCUGUAUUUUGAUGAGGAAGAAGAAGACGAACCCCCUUUAGAUUUGUUUGUCUUGGAAGAAGUAGACUUGGGAGGAAACUUCUUUCUAAAGUUCCGACGAAACUUCUUUGUUAGAAGUGCUAGUUGCUUUUCAAAGUCCUCCAGGCUUUGCUCCGACUCUGAAUCUGAUGAGGUUGAAGUGACAUCUCCUUUUGUUGAUUUUAGAGCCAUCCCUGAGGCUUUAGAAAAAGACUUGGAAGAAGACGAAUUAGAAGGAAAAGUCAUUUCAUAAGUUUGAAGAGCACCUACUAAUUCUUCUACCUUGAGUUCAUCAGGAUGUUUGACCGUUUCAAUAGCUGCAACCUUAGGACGGAAUCGUUCGGGAAGGGUUCUCAAAAUUUUUCGAACAAUUUUGGAAUCGGGAAUUUUCUCGCCCAAGUUAGCACACGUGUUUACAAUGUCUUGCAAACGAGUAUAGUACUCGGUAAAAGAUUCAUGUUCUUCCAUACGAAUGGAAUCAAAUCUACUAGUAAGCAUUUGCAAUUUUUGAAUCUUAACCAAGCUUGUACCCUCGUGUGUAACUCGCAAAGUGUCCCAAAUCUCUUUGGCGGUUUCGCACGCCGAGACGCGAGAAAAUUCAGUUUGGUUUAAAGCAUUGAAUAAAGCAUUGAUACCUUUCCCGUUGAACGAAGAUAGUUCAUUUUCCUCUUUCGUCCAUUUAUUCCUAGGUUUCGGCACGGUAACAUUCUCGACAACUUCGGUAGGAUUUUUCCAUCCGAAUUCAAUGGCUUGCCAAACCCGCUCGUCGAUAGCAAUAAGAAACGCCCUCAUACGGACUUUCCAAUAAGCAUAGUUAGUGCCAUCGAAGAGCGGGGGUCGAUUGAUGUUACCGCCCUCAGCCAUGAAUUACAACCUAUACCCGCUCUGAUACCACUUGUAAGAUAUGGAUCCCGAGGAUCUAAAAGGUAAGUAACACCUAGAGGGGGGUGAAUAGGUGUAAAAACGGCAAACUCGAAAAUCUCGAUGCAAAUAAAACAAAGUAGCGGAAAAUAAAACAGCACACCGAGAAUUUAACGUGGAAAAACUCCAAUUCGGGGUGAAAAACCCACGGGACCGAUCACGCGAAGAAAAUCCACUAAGAAAACUUGAGUACAAGUGAUUUUGACAAAAAUACACGACUCAAUUUACCGAUUUCUUGUUGAUGGUGAUCUUCGCCGGUCCUCGAUCGAUAGGAAUCCACCAAUCGACCUUGCUGCAACUCCUCGCAGCGUCAACGCCUCAACUCCUCGAAGCGUCCACCGAAUCCUCGGCUUCACGCGAGAUCCACGCGCCGAACCUCCUUCCGGAGCUUGUAGAAUCGAAGAUUUGUGGUGAUUUAACUUUUG
rnacentral:lncRNA from 1 species